rnacentral:lncRNA from 1 species
UUUUGGUUGUGUUUUUUUGUGUUUAAUUAGUGUUUGUGCCAAGUAGAACCGUCGGGAAGACUUGGGGAAAGUCUUAUUACACUUGCUGUAAAAAACAGAAACUUUAGCGCUCACGAGAACUGCUGCCAUUUUUAUUUGGAAAGUGAUAUUUAGUUAAUUAUUUUUUCAGAUUAUUAAUAGAUAAAUUCCUCACGUCCAGCAAUUUAUUUUAGAAUUUUUGGGGUUCCAGAUCUUGCGUUAGCUACAGAUUACUACAGACUGUUCUGUUUUUGACAGAUUCUGUUUUUUUUUGUGUUGUUUGCUUAUUUUGAUGAAUCUAUGGUUAGUAAAAUAGUUUAUAAACCAUAGAAAAGUUGGAAUACAGUAUGUAUAACACCAAUAUAAAUAAAUAAUGAGUUCAUUAUAGUACCUUGAAGUGGUCUUUUAUUUUCUUUCGCUAACGGAGCUCACGAGAUUUUCUACUUUAAGUUUUGUGUUGUGAAGUUUUCAAGUUUUUGAUAAAGAUUUGAUGGAUUAUGGAACAAGGAGUGAAAAAAGCCUAAGCUUGGGGAUGCCCAUGGAACCCUUAAGAUAAUCUAAGGACACCUAAAAGCCAAAGCUUGGGGAUGCCCCGGAAGGCAUCCCCUCUUUCGUCUACUUCUAUCGGUAACUUUACUUAGAGCUAUAUUUUUAUUCGCCACAUGAUAUGUGUUUUGCUUGGAGCGUCUUGUAUUAUUUGAGUCUUUAUUUUCUAGUUUACCACAAUCAUCCGUGCUGUAUACACCUUUUGAGAGAGCCAUACAUGAUUUGGAAUUUGUUAGAAUACUCUAUGUGCUUCGCUUAUAUCUUUUGAUUUAUAUAGUUUUGCUCUAGUACUUCACUUAUAUCUUUUAGAGCACGGUGGUGGAUUUGUUUUAUAGAAACUAUUGAUCUCUCAUGCUUCACUUAGAUUAUUUUGAGAGUCUUAAAUAGGAUGGUAAUUUUAUUAAAAUCCUAAUAUGCUAGGUAUUCAAGAUUAGUAAAAUUUUCUUAAGAGUGUUUUGAAUACUAAGAGAAGUUUGAUGCUUGAUGAUUGUUUUAAGAUAUGGAGGUAAUAAUAUCAAAGUCGUGCUAGUUGAGUAGUUGUGAAAUUAAGAAAUACUUGUGUUGAAGUUUGCAAGUCCCGUAACAUGCAUGUAUGGUAAACGUUAUGUAACAAAUUUGAAACAUGAGGUGUUAUUUGAUUGUCCUCCUUAUGAGUGGCGGUCGGGGGCGAGCGAUGGUCUUUUCCUUCCAAUCUAUCCCCCUAGGAGCAUGCACGUAGUACCGAGGUUUUUGAUGACUUGUAGAUUUUUGCAAUAAGUAUGUGAGUUCUUUAUGACUAAUGUUGAGUCCAUGGAUUAUACGCACUCUCACCCUUCCAUCCUUGCUAGCCUCUUCGGUACCGUGCAUUGCCCUUUCUCACAUUGAGAGUUGGUGCAAACUUUGCCGGUGCAUCCAAUCCCCGUGAUAUGAUACGCUCUUUCACAUAUAAAUCUCCUUAUAUCUUCCUCAAAACAGCCACCAUACCUACCUAUUAUGGCAUUUCCAUAGCCAUUCCGAGAUAUAUUGCCAUGUAACCUUUCACCAUUCUAUUUAUCAUGACACAUUCAUCAUUGUCAUAUUGCUUAGCAUGAUCAUGUAGUUGACAUAGUAUUUGUGGCAAAGCCACCGUUCAUAAUUCUUUCAUACAUGUCACUCUUGGUCCAUUGCAUAUCCCGAUACACCUCCGGAGGCAUUCAUAUAGAGUCAUCUUUUGUUCUAGUAUCGAGUUGUAAUCAUUGAGUUGUAAAUAAAUAGAAGUGUGAUGAUCAUCAUUUUCUAGAACAUUGUCCCAAGUGAGGAAUUAUCAUAAAAAAGAGAAAGGCCAUAAAAAGGGAGGAAGGCCAUAAAAAGAGAAGGCCCAUAAAAAAUGAGAGAAAAAGAGAGAAGGAACAAUGUUACUAUCCUUUGCCACACUUGUGCUUCAAAGUAGCACCUUAAUCUUCAUGAUAGAGAGUCUCUUGUUUUAUCACUUUCAUAUACUAGUGGGAAUUUUCGUUAUAGAACUUGGCUUGUAUAUUCCAACAAUGGGCCUCCUCAAGUGCCCUAGGUCUUCGUGGGCAAGCAAGUUGGAUGCACACCCACUUAGUCUUCUUUUGUUGAGCUUUCAUACAUUUAUAACUCUAGUGCAUCCGUUGCAUGGCAAUCCCUACUCCUUGCAUUAACAUCAAUCGAUGGGCAUCUCCAUAGCCCAUUGAUUAGCCUCGUUGAUGUGAGACUUUCUCCCUUUUUGUCUUCUCCACAUAACCCCCCUCAUUAUAUUCUAUUCCAUCCAUAGUGCUAUGUCCAUGGCUCGCGCUCAUAUAUUGCGUGAAAGUUUAUAGGUUUGAGAUUACUAAAGUAUGAAACAAUUGCUUGGCUUGUCAUCGGGGUUGUGCAUGAUGAGAGCAUUCUUGUGUGACGAAAAUGAAACAUGACUAAACUAUAUGAUUUUGUAGGGAUGAACUUUCUUUGGCCAUGUUAUUUUGAGAAGACAUAAUUGCUUAAUUAGUAUGCUUGAAGUAUUAUUAUUUUUUAUGUCAAUAUGAACUUUUGUCUUGAAUCUUUCGGAUCUGAAUAUUCAUACCACAAUUAAGAAGAAUUACAUUAAAAUUAUGCCAAGUAACACUCCGCGUCAAAAAUUCUGUUUUUAUCAUUUACCUACUCGAGGACGAGCAGGAAUUAAGCUUGGGGGUGCUUGAUACGUCUCCAACGUAUCUAUAAUUUUUGAUCGCUCCAUGCUAUAUUAUCUACUAUUUUGGACAUUAUUGAGCUUUAUUAUCCACUUUUAUAUUAUUUUUGGGACUAACCUAUUAAUUGGAGGCCCAGCCCAGAAUUGCUGUCUUUUGCCUGUUUUAGGGUUUUGAAGAAAAGGAAUAUCAAACGGAGUCCAAACGGAAUGAAACCUUCGGGAACGUGAUUUUCUUAACGAACAAGACCCAGGAGACUUUGACCCUACGUCAAGACACAAAAGAGGAGGCCACGAGGUAGGGGCGCGCCUACUCCCCCCCAGGCGCGCCCUCCACCCUCGUGGGCCCCCUGUUGCUCCACCGACGUACUCCUUCCUCCUAUAUAUACCUACGUGCCCCCAAACGAUCAGAUACGGAGCCAAAUCCCUAAUUCCACAGCCGCAACUGUCUGUAUCCAUGAGAUCCCAUAUUGGGGCCUGUUUCGGAGCUCCGUCGGAGGGGGCAUCGAUCACGGAGGGCUUCUACAUCAACACCAUAGCCCCUCCGAUGAAGUGGGAGUAGUUCACCUCAGACCUACGGGUCCAUAGUUAUUAGCUAGAUGGCUUAUUCUCUCUUUUUGGAUCUCAAUACAAUGUUCCCCCCCUCUCUUGUGGAGAACUAUUCGAUGUAAUCUUCUUUUUGCGGUGUGUUUGUUGAGACCGAUGAAUUGUGGGUUUAUGAUCAAGUCUAUCUAUGAAUAAUAUUUGAAUCUUCUCUGAAUUCUUUUAUGUAUGAUUGGUUAUCUUUGCAAGUCUCUUCAAAUUAUCAGUUUGGUUUGGCCUACUAGAUUGAUCUUUCUUGCAAUGGGAGAAGUGCUUAGCUUUGGGUUCAAUCUUGUGGUGUCCUUUCCCAGUGACAGUAAGGGCAGCAAGGCAUGUAUUGUAUUGUUGCCAUCGAGGAUAACAAGAUGGGGUUUUCAUCAUAUUGCAUGAGUCUAUCCCUCUACAUCAUGUCAUCUUGCUUAAGGCGUUACUCUGUUUUUAACUUAAUACUCUAGAUGCAUGCUGGAUAGCUGUCGAUGAGUGGAGUAAUAGUAGUAGAUGCAGGCAGGAGUCGGUCUACUUGUCUCGGACGUGAUGCCUAUAUACAUGAUCAUACCUAGAUAUUCUCAUAACUAUGCUCAAUUCUGUCAAUUGCUCAACAGUAAUUUGUUCAUCCACCGUAGAAUACUUAUGCUCUCGAGAGAAGCCACUAGUGAAACCUAUGGCCCCGGGGUCUAUCUUUAUCAUAUUAAUCUCCUACUACUUAGUUAUUUCCUUUGCUUUUUUACUUUGCCUUUAUUUUACUUUGCAUCUUCAUCACAAAAGUAUCAAAAAUAUUAUCUUAUCAUAUCUAUCAGAUCUCACUCUCGUAAGUGGCCAUGUAGGGAUUGACAGCCCCUAUUCGCGUUGGUUGCGAGGAUUUAUUUGUUUUGUGCAGGUACGAGGGACUCGCGUGUAGCCUCCUACUGGAUUGAUACCUUGGUUCUCAAAAAUUGAGGGAAAACUUACGCUACUUUGCUGCAUCAUCCCUUCCUCUUCGGGGAAAACCAACGCAGUGCUCAAGAGGUAGCAAGGAGGUCAAGGAAGAAGAAGAAGGAGGGGGGCUCUCUCCCCCUCGCUUCCGGUGGCACCGGAGUGCCACUGGGGGCCAUCAUCAUCACCCUAAUCUUCACCAACAACUUCACCACCAUCAUCACCAACUCUUCCCCCCUCUAUGCAGCGGUGUAACCUCUCUCUUACUCGCUGUAAUCUCUACUUAAACACGGUGCUCAACGCUAUAUAUUAUUUCCCAAUGAUGUAUGGCUAUCCUAUGAUGUUUGAGUAGAUCCAUUUUGUCCUAUGGGCUAUUUGAUGAUCAAGAUUGGUUUGAGUUGCAUGUUUUAUUAUUGGUGCUGUCCUAUGGUGCUCUCCGUGUAGCGCAAGCAUGAGGGAUCCCCGCUGCAGGGUGUUGCAGUACGUUCAUGAUUCGCUUAUAGUGGGUUGCGUGAGUGACUGAAACACAAACCCGAGUAAGGGGUUGUUGCGUAUGGGAUAAAGAGGACUUGAUGCUUUAAUGAUAUGGUUGGGUUUUACCUUAAUGAUCUUUAGUAGUUGCGGAUGCUUGCUAGAGUUCCAAUCAUAAGUGCAUAUGAUCCGAGUAGAGAAAGUAUGUUACCUUAUGCCUCUCCCUCAUAUAAAAUUGCAAUAAUGAUUACCGGUCUAGUUAUCGAUUGCCUAGGGACAAAUAACUUUCUCGUAACAAAAAGCUCUUUACUAAAACUAAUUUAGUUGUGUCUUUAUCUAAACAGCCCCUAGCUUUUAUUUACAUGCUCUUUAUUAUCUUGUGAACAUAUCCAACAACACCUAUAAAGUACUUCUAGUUUCAUACUUGUUCUAGGUAAAGCGAACAUCAAGCGUGCGUAGAGUUGUAUCGGUGGUCGAUAGAACUUGAGGGAAUAUUUGUUCUGCCUUUAGCUCCUCGUUGGGUUCGACACUCUUACUUAUCGAAAAUUGUUGCGAUCCCCUAUACUUGUGGGUUAUCCAUGUGCGUAGGAUUUUUUUUUGAAAUUACUACGUUCCCCAACAGUGGCAUCCGAGCCUGAUUUAUGCAUAGAUGUUAUAUGCACGAGUAGAACACAAGUGAGUUGUGGACGAUACAAGUCAUACUGCUUACCAGCAUGUCACACUUCAGUUCGGCGGUAUUGUUGGAUGAAGCGGCCCGGACCGACAUACGCGUAAGCUUACGCGAGACUGGUUCUACCGACGUGCUUUGCACACAGGUGGCUGGUGGGUGUCAGUUUUUCCAACUUUAGUUGAAUCGAGUGUGGCUAUGCCCGGUCCUUGAGAAGGUUAAAACAUCACUAACUUGACAAACUAUCGUUGUGGUUUUGAUGCGUAGGUAAGAACGGUUCUUGCUCAGCCCGUAGCAGCUAUGUAAAACUUGCAACAACAAAGUAGAGGACGUCUAACUUGUUUUUGCAGGGCAUGUUGUGAUGUGAUAUGGUCAAGACAUGAUGCUAUAUUUUAUUAUAUGAGAUGAUCAUGUUUUGUAACCGAGUUAUCGGCAACUAACAGGAGCCAUAUGGUUGUCGCUUUAUUGUAUGCAAUGCAAUCGCCCUGUAAUGGCUUCACUUUAUCACUAAGCGGUAGCGAUAGUCGUAGAAGCAAUAUUUGGCGAGACGACAACGAUGCUAGGAUGGAGAUCAAGGUGUCGCGCCGGUGACGAUGGUGAUCAUGACGGUGCUUUGGAGAUGGAGAUCACAAGCACAAGAUGAUGAUGGCCAUAUCAUAUCACUUAUAUUGAUUGCAUAUGAUGUUUAUCCUUUAUGCAUCUUAUUUUACUUAGUUCGGCGGUAGCAUUAUAAGAUGAUCUCUCUCUAAAUUUCAAGGUAUAAGUGUUCUCCCUGAGUAUGCGCGACAGUUCUUCAUGCUGAGACUCCACGUGAUGAUCGGGUGUGAUAAGCUCUACGUUCACAUACAAUGGGUGCAAGCCAGUUUUGCACACGCAGAAUACUUGGGUUAAACUUGACGAGCCUAGCAUAUGCAGAUAUGGCCUCGGAACACUGGAGACCGAAAGGUCGAGCGUGAAUCAUAUAGUAGAUAUGGUCAACAUAGUGAUGUUCACCAUUGAAAACUACUCCAUCUCACGUGAUGACCGGACAUGGUUUAGUUGAUUUGGAUCACGUGAUCAUUUAGAUGACUAGAGAUAUGUCUAUCUAAGUGGGAGUUCUUAAGUAAUAUGAUUAAUUGAACUUUAAUUUAUCAUGAACUUAGUCCUGAUAGUAUUUGCAUAACUAUGUUGUAGAUCAAUAUCUCGCGAUGUAGCUCCCCGUUUAUUUUUGAUAUGUUCCUAGAGAAAAACUAUGUUGAAAAAUGAUAGUAGCAAUGAUGCGGACUAGUUCCGUGAUCUGAGGAUUAUCCUCAUUGCUGCACAGAAGAAUUGUGUCCUUGAUGCACCGCUAGGUGACGGACCUAUUGUAGGAGCAGAUACAGACGUUAUGAACGUUUUGGUAAAGCUCGGUAUGAUGACUACUUGAUAGUUUAGUGCACCAUGCUUUACGGCUUAGAACCAGGACUUCAAAAACGUUUUGAACGCCACAUAGCAUAUAAGAUGUUCUAAGAGUUGAAAUUGGUAUUUCAUACUCAUGCCCGUAUCGAGAGGUAGAAGACCUCUGAUGGUACUUUGCCUACAAGAUGGAGGAGAAUAGCUCAACUAGUGAGCAUGUGCUCAGAUUGUCUGGGUACUACAAUUGCUUGAAUCAAAUGGGAGUUAAUCUUCCAGAUAAGAUAGUAAUUGACAAAGUUCUCUAGUCACUAUCACCAAGUUACUAGAACUUAGUGAUGAACUAUAAUAUGCAAGGGAUAAAGAAAGUAAUUCCCAAGCUCUUCGCGAUGCUGAAAUCGGCGAAGGUAGAAAUCAAGAAAUAGCAUCAAGUGUUGAUGGUUGACAAGACCACUAGUUUCAAGUAAAAGGGCAAAGGGAAAGAAAGGGAACUUCAAGAAUAAUGGCAAGCAAGUUGCCACUCCCAUGAAGAAGCGCAAAGCUAGACCCAAGCCUGAAACUGAGUGCUUCUACUGCAAAGGAAAUGGUCACUGGAAGUGGAACUGCCCUAGAUACUUGGUGGAUAAGAAGGUUGGCAAAGUGAACAAAGGUAUAUUUGAUAUACAUGUUAUUGAUGUGUACUUCACUAGUGUUUAUAGCAAACUCCUCGGUAUUUGAUACUAGUUCAGUUGCUAAGAGUAGUAACUCGAAAAGGGAGUUGCAAAAUAAACGAAGACUAGUUGAGGACGAGGUGGCGAUGUGUGUUGGAAGUAAUUCCAAGGUUGAUAAGAUCACCAUCGCACACUCCCUUUACAUUCGGGAUUAGUGUUGAACCUAAAAUAAAUGUUAUUUGGUGUUUGCAUUGAGCAUAAUAUGAUUGGAUCAUGUUUAUUGCAAUACGGUUAUUCAUUCAAGUCAAAGAAUAAUUGUUAUUCUGUUUACAUGAAUAAAACCUUCUGUGGUCAUACACCCAAGGUGAAUGAUUUAUUGAAUCUCGAUCGUAGUGCUACACAUAUUUAUAAUAUUGAAGCCAAAAGAUGAAAAAAUAAUAAUGAUAGUGCAACUUAUUUGUGGCACUGCCGUUUAGGUCAUAUUGGUGUAAAGCGCAUGAAGAAACUCCAUGCUGAUGGAAUUUUGGAAUCACUUGAUUAUGAAUCACUUGAUUCUUGUGAACCAUGCCUCAUGGGCAAGAUGACUAAGACUUUGUUCUUCGGAACAAUGGAACGAGCAACUGACUUAUUGGAAAUAAUACAUACUGAUGUAUGCAGUCCGAUGAGUGUUGAGGCUCGCGGCGGAUAUUAUUGUUUUCUAACCUUCAUAGAUGAUUUGAGCAGAUAUGGGUAUAUCUACUUGAUGAAACAUAAGUCUGAAACAUUUUUGAGAAGUUCAAAGAAUUUUAGAGUGAAGUGGAAAAUCAUCGUAACAAGAAAAUAAAGUUUCUACGAUCUGAUCGUGGAGGAGAAUAUUUGAGUUACGAGUUUGGUCUUCAUUUGAAACAAUGCGGAAUAGUUUCGCAACUCACGCCACCUGGAACACCACAGCAUAAUGGUGUGUCCGAACGUCGUAAUCGCACUUUACUAGAUAUGGUGCGAUCUAUGAUGUCUCUUACUGAUUUACCACUAUCGUUUUGGGGUUAUGCAUUAGAGACAGCUGCAUUCACGUUAAAUAGGGCACCAUCUAAAUCCGUUGAGACGACACCAUAUGAACUGUGGUUUGGCAAGAAACCAAAGUUGUCGUUUCUUAAAGUUUGGGGUUGCGAUGCUUAUGUGAAAAAGUUUCAUCCUGAUAAGCUCAAACCCAAAUCGGAGAAAUGUGUCUUCAUAGGAUACCCAAAGGAGACAGUUGGGUACACCUUCUAUCACAGAUCCGAAGGCAAGACAUUCGUUGCUAAGAAUGGUCCUUUCUAGAGAAGGAGUUUCUCUCCAAAGAAGUGAGUGGGAGGAAUGUAGAACUUGAUGAGGUAAUUGCACCUUCUCCCAAAUUGGAAAGUAGCUCAUCACAAAAAUCAGUUCUAGUGAUCUCUACACCAGUUAGUGAGGAAGCUAAUGAUGAUGAUCAUGAAACUUCAGAUCAAGUUGCUACCGAACCUCAUAGGACAACCAGAGUAUGGUCCGCACCAGAGUGGUACGGUAAUCCUUUCUGGAAGUCAUGUUACUAGACCAUGACGAACCUACGAACUAUGAGGAAUCGAUGAUGAGCCCAGAUUCCGUGAAAUGGUUUGAGGCCAUGAAAUCUGACAUGGGAUCCAUGUAUAAGAACAAAGUAUGGACUUUGAUUGACUUGCACAAUGAUCGGUGAGUCGUGAAGAAUAAAUGGAUCUUCAAGAGGAAGACGGACGCUGAUAAUAGUGUUACUAUCUACAAAGCUCGAAUUGUCGCAAAAUGUUUUUGACAAGUUCAAGGUGUUGACUACGAUGAGAUUUUCUCACUCGUAUCGAUGCUUAAAAGUCUAUCCGAAUCAUGUUAGCAGUUGCCGCAUUUUAUGAAAUCUGGCAAAUGGAUGUCAAAACUGUAUUCCUUAAUGGAUUUCUUAAAGAAGAGUUGUAUAUGAUGCAACCAGAAGGUUUUGUCGAUCCUAAAGGUGCUAACAAAGUGAGCAAGAUAUCCAUCUAUGGACUGGUGCAAGCGUCUCAGAGUUGGAAUAUAUGCUUUGAUAAAGUGAUCAAAGCAUAUGGUUUUAUACAGACUUGCGGUGAAGCCUGCAUUUACAAGAAAGUGAGUGGGAGCACUACAAAUUUCUGAUAAGUAUAUGUGAAUGACAUAUUGUUGAUCUAAAUAAUGUAGAAUUUUCUAGAAAGCAUAAAGGAGUGUUUGAAAAGAGUUUUUCAAAGAAAGACCUCGAUGAAGCUACUUACACAUUGAGUGUCAAGAUCUAUAGAGAUAGAUCAAGAUGCUUGAUAAGUUUUUUCAAUGAGUACAUACCUUGACAAGAUUUUGAAGUAGUUCAAAAUGGAAAAGUCAAAGAAGGUGUUCUUUCCUGUGUUGUAAGGUGUGAAGUUGAGUGAAGACUCAAAACCCGACCACGGCAGAAAAUAGAAAGAGAAUGAAAAGUCAUUCCCUAUGCCUCAGUCAUAGGUUCUAUAAAGUAUGCUAUGCUGUGUAUCAAUCCUAUUGUAUAUCUUAGCAUGAAUCUGGCAAGGGAGUACAAUAGUGAUCUAGGAGUAGAUCACUGGACAGCGGUCAAAAUUAUCCUUGGAAGACUAAGGAAAUAUUUCUCGGUUAUGGAGGUGAUAAAAGAGUUUGUUGUAAAGAGUUACGUCGAUGCAAGCUUUUUACAUCGAUCUAGAUGACUCUAAGUCUCAAUCUGGAUACAUAUUGAAAGUGGCAGCAAUUAGCUAGAGUAGCUCCAUGCAGAGCAUUGUAUACAUAGAAAUUUGUGAAAUACAUACGGAUCUGAAUGUUGCAGACCCGUAGACUAAAUUUCUCUCACAAGCAAAACAUGAUCACUCUUUGGGUGUUAAUCACAUAGCGACGUGAACUAGAUUAUUGACUCUAGUAAACCCUUUGGGUGUUAGUCACAUGGAGAUGUGAACUAAUCACAUAAAGAUGUGAACUAUUGGUGUUAAAUCACAUGACGAUGUGAAUUAGAUUAUUGACUCUAGUGCAAGUGGGAGACUGAAGGAAAUAUGCCCUAGAGGCAAUAAUAAAGUUAUUAUUUAUUUCCUUAUAUCAUGAUAAAUGUUUAUUAUUCAUGCUAGAAUUGUAUUAACCGGAAACUUAGUACAUGUGUGAAUACAUAGACAAACAAAGUGUCACUAGUAUGUCUCUACUUCACUAGCUCGUUGAAUCAAAGAUGGUUAAGUUUCCUAGCCAUAGACAUGAGUUGUCAUUUGAUUAACGGGAUCACAUUAUUAGAGAAUGAUGUGAUUGACUUAAGCCAUUCCGUUAGCUUAGCACGAUGAUUGUUUAGUUUGUUGCUACUGCUUUCUUCAUGACUUAUACAUGUUCCUAUGACUAUGAGAUUAUGCAACUCCCGAAUACCGGAGGAACACUCUGUGUGCUAACAAAUCUCACAACGUAACUGGGUGAUUAUAAAGGUGCUCUACAGGUGUCUCCAAUGGUACUUGUUGAGUUGGCAUAGAUCGAGAUUAGGAUUUGUCACUCCGAUUGUCGGAGAGGUAUCUCUGGGCCCACUCGGUAAUGCACAUCACUAUAAGCCUUGCAAGCAUUGUAACUAAUGAGUUAGUUGCAGGAUGAUGUAUUGCGAAACGAGUAAAGAGACUUGCCAAUAACGAGAUUGAACUAGGUAUUGAGAUACCGACGAUGGAAUCUCGGACAAGUAACAUACCGAUGACAAAGGGAACAACGUAUGUUGUUAUGCGGUUUGACCGAUAAAGAUCUUCGUAGAAUAUGUGGGAGCCAAUAUCAACAUCCAGGUUCCGCUAUUGGUUAUUGACCGGAGACGUGUCUCGGUCAUGUCUACAUAGUUCUCGAACCCGUAGGGUCCGCACGCUUAAAGUUCGGUGACGAUCGGUAUUAUGAGUUUUUGUGUUUUGAUGUACCGAAGGUAGUUCGGAGUCCCGGAUAUGAUCACGGACAUGACGAGGAGUCUCGAAAUGAUUGAGACGUAAAGAUCGAUAUAUUGGACGACUAUAUUCGGACACCGGAAGUGUUCUGGGUAGUUUCGUAGAAAACCGGAGUGUUGGAGGGUUACCGGAACCCCCCGAGAGAAAUAGUGGGCCUUAUGGGACUUAGUGGAGAGAGAGGGCUGGCCUAGGGCAGGUCGCGCGCCCUCCCCCUCUGGUCUGAAUUGGACUAGGAGAGGGGGGGCGCCCCCCUUUCCUUCUCCCUCUCCCCCUUCCUUUCCCCCCUAGUAGGACUCCUCCUGGCGUGCCUACAGGGGCCGGCCGGCCUCCCCCCUUGCUCCUUUAUAUACGGGGGUAGGGGGCACCUCUAGACACACAAGUUGAUCUGUUGAUCUCUCCCUGCCGUGUGUGGUGCCCCCCUCCACCAUAAUCCACCUCGAUCAUAUCGUAGCAGUGCUUAGGCGAAGCCCUGCAUCGGUAACAUCAUCAUCACGCCGUCGUGCUGACGAAACUCCCCCGUGAAGCUCUGCUAGAUCGGAGUUUGUGGGACGUCAUCAAGCUAAACGUGUGCUGAACUCGGAGGUGUCGUCCGUUCGAUACUUCGAUCGGUCGGAUCGUGAAGACGUACGACUACAUCAACAUCGUUGUGCUAAUGCUUCCGCUUUCGGUCUAUGAGGGUACGUGGACACACUCUCCCCUCUCGUUGCUAUGCAUCACCAUGAUCAUGUGUGUGCAUAGGAUUUUUUUUGAAAUUACUAUGUUCCCCAACAAGCACAACCCACCAACACGCGCCAGGGGCCUCUGGCCCGCCCUGGUGUCUUGUGGGUUGUGUGGGCCUCCGUUUGCGAUGAUUUGAACUCCCCAAAAUCACAUAUAUUCCAAAAUAAUUCUCCGUAAAAAUUUAUUGCAUUUGGACUUCGUUUGAUAUGGAUACUCCGCGAUACAAAAAACAUGCAGAAAAUAGGAACUGACACUGGGCACUGGAUCAAUAGGUUAGUCCAAUAAAUCAUAUAAAAAGUUACCAAAAAUAUGUGAAAGUUGUAUAAUAUUGACAUGAAACAAUCGAAAUUAUAGAUACGACUGAGACGUAUCAGCGCGUAGCACACACCAGACAAUUGGCUAGCCGUGUGCGGCGCCCCCCUCCACAGUUUACACCAUCGGUUAUAUCUUCGUAGUGCUUAGGCGAAGUCCUGCGAUGAUCACUUCACCAUUAUCGUCACCACGCCGUCGUGCUGACGAAACUCAUCUAGUACCUCGAUGUCUUGCUGGAUCAAGAAGGCGAGGGACGUCAGCGAGCUGAACGUGUGCAGAACUCGGAGGUGUCGUGCGUUUGGUACCUGAUCGGUCGGAGCUAGAAGAAAUUCGACUACAUCAACCACGUUAUCAAACGCUUCCGCUUUUGGUCUACGAGGGUACGUAGACACACUCUUCCCCUCUCGUUGCUAUGCAUCUCCUAAAUAGAUCUUGCGUGAGCGGAGGGAUUUUUUUGAAAUUGCAUGCUACGUUUUCCAACAUUGAGAAACCGGGUCAAGCCAAAGAACAACACGCAAGAAGAUGUUGAAAUCGUACACCAAUAGCCAGCCAAUAACUCUCCUUGAAAGAUACACAAAGUGGCAAUGUUUAAAGGGAACCAACAUAUUUAAGGACACAAACUCUCACGGUCUCUUCGCCAGCGUCGAAUCAGACGUCGAGGCUAGGAGUGACCAGAGAGACCUUAUUCCAACACGCCAACAUCGCCACCACCUCAUCAAUGUCACAGAGGAAACAAACACCUAAGAAAAAUAAAACGAGACAGACGGGUCCUCGCUUCUCUUGCCGCCACCGAGGCCCUCGAACGAGGAAUAAGAGGGGGGACCAAGGCGGCGGCGUGUAGGGAAGCAGUGGUGACGGCGGCAGCUGCUAUGCUGGGAGAAGGAGGAAUGUGUUCGACAUGCGCCAGGACCAAAACCUUUUUUUCUUCUUUUGAUCGGAAGACCAAAACGUUGAUAGGGUGGAUUUUGGCCACCAUACAAACACACCGUUCGUCUGUCACGUCCCCUCCACCCUAGGGCUUCCGCUGCCUCCCGUUCCGUGCAGCGCACCACCCAUCUCUCCCAACUCCAACGGUUCGCUCACGCGGUGCCCGGCGACGCACUCAAUUUUCGGGAAAGAAACGGGGGAAGCGAUCUUAAAUGGAAACCAGUCAAUCACAGGCUGGGCAGGCGGUAACUCGUAAGUCGUAACGCCUCCCUCGUGCCAGGCAAAGGCAUCUCUCUCCUCAUUCUGAUUUGAGCUCCCGCUCGACGCCUGUUUUGAAAACCCGGACCGCGUACCCUUCUCUUCUCUCAAAGCCAAGGGCACCCGCCGCCUCCUUCCAUCUUCAACCCUCCCAAACCCCCGGCCAAUCGAAGCCCGAAACUCGACGCCCAACGCAAUGGAGCCACGCGGCCGUCGCCGGAAGCAGCAGGGGGCGGCGGAGGAGAAGGAGAACACCGCCAGCGCGGCGCCGCCGGCCCCCAAGAGGCCGCGCUGCACGGAGCGCAGGGCCCUUGCCGAGCUCCCCGCCGCAUCGACCGCGAACAACGCCUCGGCGGCGCCGACGGGGGCGCCGUCGAAGCCGAUGACGCGCGCGGCGGCCAGGGAGGCGGCCGCCGCGGCGGUGGAGGAGGAGGCGAGGAGGAGGGAGGGCUCCGCCAUUGCCGCCCGCCCGGCGGCCUCGAGGCAGACGGACGCCGGGGCGGCGCAGGCGUCCGUUGGCCCGUACGUCGCGGAUAUCGACGGGUACCUGCGGUCCCUGGAGGUGAGGGUUCCUCGAUCCAUCUUCUCGUCUGACAAUGCGUGCGCAAAUCCGAGUCAUUUUAGAGGGCGGCUUAUUUAGGGGUGCGAAGUUCGUGGUGUGGUGGUGGGAUUCGGUCCUGUUGCUAUGUCAAGGUGAUAAAUGGCAUCACACAUUUUGGAAUUUCGGGGCGUUAUCUUGUAGCAGUCGUGCAUUCUGGAAUUUGGGGGAUUGGAUUGGGUUGGGGGUGAAUCAAUCAUUUUUUACUGUUAGAUUGGGACAUUUCUAGUGCUUUUCCACCUUCACUAGCAGAAAAACAAGUCUUUGGGAAAAAAAUUAUACCGUACAUGUCAUCCUUAUUGUCUGAAGGUACUAGCAUUACGAUGAAUGCAAUGAAAUAUAGCUCGGUGCUACCACGACAAAAAUGGGGACAUUAUUUGUGAUUUUGUUGCAUUUUGUGACAUUACAGGUUGAACAAUUGAGGAGGCCGAGGGAUGACUAUAUGGUGGCCAUGCAGAAAGACAUCAGCGCCACUAUGAGGGGUAUCCUAGUAGAUUGGUUGGUGGAUGUGGUUGACGAGUUCAAUCUUCUGGCUGACACGCUUUACCUUGCGGUUUCAUAUAUUGACCCCUUCCUCGCGGCGAGUGUAGUUACCCGGGACAAGCUGCAAUUGCUUGGUGUCGCUUCAUUGUUUGUUGCUGCGUAUGGGCCUAAACUUUCCUCUUAUCUCCUUUCUGCCUCUCUUUGUCAUCUCUUACCAUGACUGGCCAACUUACAACGGCCUAAAUCUAAUGCUGUAGGAAGUACGAAGAGAUUCAUGUUCCUAAGCUGGACAAAUUCAGUGACAUUACUGACGGCACAUACACCAAUCAGCAGGUAACCUUCUGCUGAACUUGCUAUUUUUGGUAAAUUUCCUAGCACUGAUGUGAAUGGUGGAGAUAAAUUUGUAAUUUGUAUGCACUGCAGGUGGUGAAGAUGGAGGCUGACAUACUGAAAUAUCUCAACUUUCAGAUGGGGAGUCCCACCGUAAGAACUUUUCUAUUGUACGUGCUCUAUCUGAAAUUUCUGCAUUAAAUUUGCACAUACCUAUCAACUAUCGUCUCUAUGUCAAGUACUCCUUCAUUCCUUGAACUAAAACCACGACAAUAAUUUUGGACCGGAGGGAAUAGUUACCAUGUUUAAAUCACAUGGGAAGUAGCAGCAUGAUUACUGCCAUAAUGGACAAAGAAUUUCAUAAGCCUAACAAUUGAUACAUGUAUUGCAGGCGAUUCUUAAUAUCUUGUUGUGGAGGCAAUGUAAGCACAUUUUUGGAGCCCUCAGCAUUUGCCUCUCUUAAUGUUAUUUUUAUAACAUGUUUCCCCCUUCAAACUUCAGUGUGCAAGUGCAAAAAGGUUGGAGCUUAUGUGUUGCUAUCUCGCGGAAUUGAGCUUGCUAGACUACGACUGCAUAAGGUUCCUGCCAUCAGUUAUUGCUGCUGCCUGUCUGUUCUUAGCCAGGUUCACAAUCAGCCCAAAGAUUUGUCCUUGGGUAAGAUUAAUCAAAUCUUGCUGAAUCAUUGAAUCUACGUUAUGCUUGGCUUUGUGUUUGUUCUGACAUUUACGUCUGCUAGAACUUUACGCUGCAAGAGAAAACGGGCUACAAGGUCUCUGAUCUCAGGAGUUGCAUCCUGAGGAUACACGAUUUGCAGUUGGGCAGACAGUAUUCAAAUCUGAAGGCCAUCAAGAGCAAGUAUAGUGAGCGCAAGGUGAUAUCCGCUCUCCCUGCUUUCUUUGGCUGUUACAUGCAUUUUCAUAAUUGUUUGUUUUUGUGACUGUACAGUUCGGGUGCGUGUCGAUGAUGGCCUCGUCGGAAGAAAUUCCGGCAUCUCUCCUCAAAGACCUCGAUAAGUGAAAGGCUGACAAUGCAACUUCAUUUCAACAUNNNNNNNNNNNNNNNNNNNNNNNNNNNNNNNNNNNNNNNNNNNNNNNNNNNNNNNNNNNNNNNNNNNNNNNNNNNNNNNNNNNNNNNNNNNNNNNNNNNNNNNNNNNNNNNNNNNNNNNNNNNNNNNNNNNNNNNNNNNNNNNNNNNNNNNNNNNNNNNNNNNNNNNNNNNNNNNNNNNNNNNNNNNNNNNNNNNNNNNNNNNNNNNNNNNNNNNNNNNNNNNNNNNNNNNNNNNNNNNNNNNNNNNNNNNNNNNNNNNNNNNNNNNNNNNNNNNNNNNNNNNNNNNNNNNNNNNNNNNNNNNNNNNNNNNNNNNNNNNNNNNNNNNNNNNNNNNNNNNNNNNNNNNNNNNNNNNNNNNNNNNNNNNNNNNNNNNNNNNNNNNNNNNNNNNNNNNNNNNNNNNNNNNNNNNNNNNNNNNNNNNNNNNNNNNNNNNNNNNNNNNNNNNNNNNNNNNCUCUAGAUCCCUUAUUCUUUUGCAGGCUAAGGCAGCAAAUUCAUUAUUAGUGGAUUAGGGGUUGAUCUAGCAAGAAUCUCUCAUGCCCGCCUGUAGGUAGUUAGUCGCGCCAUUUCGGUUGCAUUUACAGUGCAGCUAUCUAGCUGCAUCUGUAAUCCGGUAUCAACGUGUGACCGGAAUGUUUUUGUACAUAGUUUAGCAUGUUGGUGGUGCCGUGGUCAAUGAUAAAAUUCCGCUUGAAAGCUUUCAGGCCAUGUUUUUGUUGCAUACAUUGUGCUUAACGAAAGCACUGAUGAAGUGAUCAGCAUAUUCUCAAAGCUGAAAUGGGGCCAGCAAAUAUUGCACUUGCCAUCAGCAAGGGAACGUGUGCACAACAGUAAACUGAAUAAGAUCAGCCGGUAAUGUCGUACUAGUAAUUAUCAUCCAUAAAGUGCUUAAACGAUAAGAUAACUGACAGCGAUUUGAGUAACGUUCAGUAGCAAUAGGACUUCAGAAUGGUGCAGCGAUCAUUACAUAGGUAACCUAGCAAUUGCGGCUUCAGAAUGGUGUGGAUAACAGAGCUUGACGACUUCAGAAUGGUGAGGUGAACUGAGCUUGAGUUACGAACGGCGAUCAAUCCUUCUGCACCCCGCAGAAGGCCUUCAGUGGAUCACCGGACUUGCGCCCUUCCUCUGAGUGCCGGAACGUCGUGUAGCCGUCGUUGGUGCAGGGACGGUACAGCAGAGGGUGCUCGUCGUCGACGAGCUCGUCGAUGGCGCUCAGUAGGACGCCGUCCUUCCCCGGGCAGCCGAACAGCGCCGACAGGCGCUCCCGGUUGCUCGGCGUCCUCACGCGGUGGAAGCAACCCGGCACCCUCCCGUUAGUCACGACCUGCGACGGCGGUGUCAGUCAGACGCGCGUCAACCAGAGAAAGGAGAGCGCGGGCGCGCGGCCCUUAUACCGUGAACAGCUCGCCGGCGACGAAGGUGAACAAGUCCGGCUCAGGCGGCACCGCGAGCCAGAUCCCGUCCUGAACCUGCACCUCGAGGCCCUCCACGCCGUGCUGCACGAUCGCCGUCAUGAUGCUGUCGUCGCGGUGCGCCUGCAGGGACAUGUUCGUCUCCGCGUCCGGCGGGGGCCCGUAGCGCGACAGCCGGACGCUGUGGGCGAGCGUGUCCAGAUGCGCGCCGAUGCGCUCCUCCCCGACGCCCAGGCCCUCCAGGAUCAUCUUCUCCACCGUGCGCUGCAGCUCCCACACGUUCUUGGCCGCGGACGCGAUCGUGUCGCUGCACGCGGACGGCACACGGUCACCACGGGCACACCAUGCCAAAACGGAUGCACGACGGACGCAGAAGAAAAUGGUGGGCACUGCUUGGUUACCAGAAGGCGGGGUUCCCCUGCGGCCAGAGGAGGUCGGCGAAGUCGCGGACGCGGCCGGCGUCGGUGGGCUCGGAGAGGCGCACGCUCUCCCAGUUGGUGCCGGGGACGUUGGAGAUGUAGCCGCGGAAGGGGCCCACCUCGGAGACGUUCCGCUGCUUGGCCUCCGGCGGGAGCGCGAAGAUCUCCGGCAUGACGCGGCCGAACAGCGCCUGCCGGAGCUCCAGGCCGAGCGCGUCGUGCGCCACGACGACGAAGCCGUGCGCCACGACGGACGCCGUCACCGCGUCCCGGGCUUCCGCCCAGCCCGGCCCGCCGGGCUCCAGCCCGCGGAGGUCGACCCUGGCGAUCUCCAUCAGCUGCUGCCUGCUGCUGGGAGCCGUCGUCUUGGCUUGGCUUGUGUGGGAUGCUUCUGGGAUCUUGGUUUGUUCGAUGGAGACAGGUGACGGCUGGUUAUACAGGAGUAGUACAAGUCAGCGGAUUGGGUGUGGGAUAGCUGCUCAUCAUGGGCGACGCUCUUCGGUUUUUUAGUUUGGCGGACGGCUGGAUCCAUCAGAUCCCGCCGCAAAUAGCGGGGUGCGCGUCCCCUUGGGUGGAGGCCACCUUCAAUACUUUUUUUUUGAACGGUCACGGGGGAAAGUCCCCACCUAAAUAUAUUGCUUAAAGUGGCCAAAAUGCCAAGUGUUUGAUCCAGUUUAUAAGAAAAACAGGAUCGAAAACCUUAACAGGUUGACCCCGUUUAUAAGGAAAACCGGGCCAAAAAACCGCACAGGAGGGAAGGAUUACAUAGGGUGAGAACAUAUGGAGACGCCUCGAAGAAGGCACUACCUAGCCAGCAAGCCAAGAGACCACCAUCAUAAAAGUCGAGUGGAAGUGGUGUGUCGUCGAGGAAUCACAAUACCAACACUAAACAACUAUCCUAACGCACCACACCGGCGUGCGUACCAACCCCUUGGCACAACAGAGGAGCAUCAACAAUCAACGAGUGACCCAUCACGAACCUUAACUGGAAGCUUCGCCACAGCAAGCCGACACGAUUAGCAAGGUGGGGAGGCAUUGUUGGGGAAUGUAGUAAUUUAAAAAAUUUUCCUACGCACACGCAAGAUCAUGGUGAUGCAUAGCAACGAGAGGGGUAGAGUGUGAUCUACGUGCCCUUGUAGAUCGACAACGGAAGCGUUAACUUGGUUGAUGUAGUCGUACGUCUUCACGGCCCGACCGAUCAAGCACCGAAACUACGGUACCUCCGAGUUCUAGCCACGUUCAGCUCGAUGACGAUCCCCGGACUCCGAUCCAGCAAAGUGUCGGGGAAGAGUUCCGUCAGCACAAUGGCAUGGUGACGAUCUUGAUGUACUACUGUCGCAGGGCUUCGCCUAAGCACCGCUACAAUAUUAUCGAGGACUAUGGUGGAAGGGGGCACCGCACACAGCUAAGAAUAUGAUCACGUGGAUCAACUUGUGUCUCUAGGGGGUGCCCCUGCCUCCGUAUAUAAAGGCUCAAGGGAGGGGGGCCGGCCGGCCAGGAGAGGCGCGCCAGGAGGAGUCCUGCGACAGUGGAAUAGGAUUCGCGGNNNNNNNNNNNNNNNNNNNNNNNNNNNNNNNNNNNNNNNNNNNNNNNNNNNNNNNNNNNNNNNNNNNNNNNNNNNNNNNNNNNNNNNNNNNNNNNNNNNNNNNNNNNNNNNNNNNNNNNNNNNNNNNNNNNNNNNNNNNNNNNNNNNNNNNNNNNNNNNNNNNNNNNNNNNNNNNNNNNNNNNNNNNNNNNNNNNNNNNNNNNNNNNNNNNNNNNNNNNNNNNNNNNNNNNNNNNNNNNNNNNNNNNNNNNNNNNNNNNNNNNNNNNNNNNNNNNNNNNNNNNNNNNNNNNNNNNNNNNNNNNNNNNNNNNNNNNNNNNNNNNNNNNNNNNNNNNNNNNNNNNNNNNNNNNNNNNNNNNNNNNNNNNNNNNNNNNNNNNNNNNNNNNNNNNNNNNNNNNNNNNNNNNNNNNNNNNNNNNNNNNNNNNNNNNNNNNNNNNNNNNNNNNAUCUCUGGCCACCUCUCCUCUCUUCCACUAAGGCCCACUAAGGCCCAUAUACCUCCCGGGGGGUUCCGGUAACCUCCCGGUACUCCGGUAAAAUCCCGAUUUCACCCGGAACACUUCCGAUAUCCAAACAUAGGCUUCAAAUAUAUCAAUCUUUAUGUCUCGACCAUUUCGAGACUCCUCGUCAUGUCCGUGAUCAUAUCCGGGACUCCGAACAACCUUCGGUACAUCAAAGUGCAUAAACUCAUAAUAUAACUGUCAUCGUAACCUUAAGCGUGCGGACCCUACGGGUUCGAGAACAAUGUAGACAUGACCGAGACACGUCUCCGGUCAAUAACCAAUAGCGGAAUCUGGAUGCUCAUAUUGGCUCCUACAUAUUCUAUGAAGAUCUUUUAUCGGUCAGACCGCAUAACAACAUACGUUGUUCCCUUUGUCAUCGGUAUGUUACUUGCCCGAGAUUCGAUCGUCGGUAUCCUAUAGCUAGUUCAAUCUCGUUACAGGAAAGUCUCUUUACUCGUUCUGUAAUACAUCAUCCCGCAACUAACUCAUUAGUUGCAAUGCUUGCAAGGCUUAAGUGAUGUGCAUUACCGAGAGGGCCCAGAGAUACCUCUCCGACAAUCGGAGUGACAAAUCCUAAUCUCGAAAUACGCCAACCCAAUAUGUACCUUUGGAGACACCUGUAGAGCUCCUUUAUAAUCACCCAGUUACGUUGUGACGUUUGGUAGCACACAAAGUGUUCCUCUGGCAAACGGGAGUUGCAUAAUCUCAUAGUCAUAGGAACAUGUAUAAGUCAUGAAGAAAGCAAUAGCAACAUACUAAACGAUCGGGUGCUAAGCUAAUGGAAUGGGUCAUGUCAAUCAGAUCAUUCAACUAAUGAUGUGAUCCCGUUAAUCAAAUAACAACUCUUUGUCCAUGGUUAGGAAACAUAACCAUCUUUGAUUAACGAGCUAGUCAAGUAGAGGCAUACUAGUGACACUCUGUUUGUCUAUGUAUUCACACAUGUAUUAUGUUUCCGGUUAAUACAAUUCUAACAUGAAUAAUAAACUUUUAUCAUGAUAUAAGGAAAUAAAUAAUAACUUUAUUAUUGCCUCUAGGGCAUAUUUCCUUCAGUCUCCCACUUGCACUAGAGUCAAUAAUCUAGAUUACACAGUAAUGAUUCUAACACCCAUGGAGCCUUGGUGCUGAUCAUAUUUUGCUCGUGGAAGAGGCUUAGUCAACGGGUCUGCAACAUUCAGAUCCGUAUGUAUCUUGCAAAUCUCUAUGUCUCCCAUCUGGAGUAGAUCCCGGAUGGAAUUGAAGCGUCUCUUGAUGUGCUUGGUUCUCUUGUGAAAUCUGGAUUCCUUCGCCAAGGCAAUUGCACCAGUAUUGUCACAAAAGAUUUUUAUUGGACCCGAUGCACUAGGUAUGACACCUAGAUCGGAUAUGAACUCCUUCAUCCAGACUCCUUCAUUCGCUGCUUCCGAAGCAGCUAUGUAUUCCGCUUCACACGUAGAUCCCGCCAUGACGCUCUGUUUAGAACUGCACCAACUGAGAGCUCCACCGUUUAAUGUAAACACGUAUCCGGUUUGCGAUUUAGAAUCGUCCGGAUCAGUGUCAAAGCUUGCAUCAACGUAACCGUUUACGAUGAGCUCUUUGUCACCUCCAUAUACGAGAAACAUAUCCUUAGUCCUUUUCAGGUACUUCAGGAUGUUCUUGACCGCUGUCCAGUGAUCCACUCCUGGAUUACUUUGGUACCUCCCUGCUAGACUUAUAGCAAGGCACACAUCAGGUCUGGUACACAGCAUUGCAUACAUGAUAGAGCCUAUGGCUGAAGCAUAGGGAACAUCUUUCAUUUUCUCUCUAUCUUCUGCAGUGGUCGGGCAUUGAGUCUGACUCAACUUCACACCUUGUAACACAGGCAAGAACCCUUUCUUUGCUUGAUCCAUUUUGAACUUCUUCAAAAUCUUGUCAAGGUAUGUGCUUUGUGAAAGUCCAAUUAAACAUCUUGAUCUAUCUCUAUAAAUCUUUAUGCCUAAUAUGUAAGCAGCUUCACCGAGGUCUUUCAUUGAAAAACUCUUAUUCAAGUAUCCCUUUAUGCUAUCCUGAAAUUCUAUAUUAUUUCCAAUCAGUAAUAUGUCAUCCACAUAUAAUAUUAGAAAUGCUACAGAGCUCCCACUCACUUUCUUGUAAAUACAGGCUUCUCCAAAAGUCUGUAUAAAACCAAAUGCUUUGAUCACACUAUCAAAGCGUUUAUCCAACUCCGAGAGGCUUGCACCAGUCCAUAAAUGGAUCGCUGGAGCUUGCACACUUUGUUAGCUCCCUUUGGAUCGACAAAACCUUCCGGUUGCAUCAUAUACAACUCUUCUUCCAGAAAUCCAUUCAGGAAUGCAGUUUUGACAUCCAUCUGCCAAAUUUCAUAAUCAUAAAAUGCGGUAAUUGCUAACAUGAUUCGGACAGACUUAAGCAUCGCUACGGGUGAGAAGGUCUCAUCGUAGUCAACCCCUUGAACUUGCCGAAACCCUUUUGCGACAACUCGAGCUUUGUAGACAGUAAUAUUACCGUCGGCGUCAGUCUUCUUCUUGAAGAUCCAUUUAUUCUCAAUUGCUUGCCGAUCAUUGGGCAAGUCAACCAAAGUCCAUACUUUGUUCUCAUACAUGGAUCCCAUCUCAGAUUUCAUGGCUUCAAGCCAUUUUGCGGAAUCUGGGCUCACCAUCGCUUCUUCAUAGUUCGUAGGUUCAUCAUGAUCUAGUAGCAUGACUUCCAGAACAGGAUUACCGUACCACUCUGGUGCGGAUCUCACUCUGGUUAAUCUACGAGGUUCAGUAGUAUCUUGUUCUGAAGUUUCAUGAUCUUUAUCAUUAGCUUCCUCACUAAUUGGUGUAGGUGUCUCAGAAACAGGUUUCUGUGAUGUACUACUUUCCAAUAAGGGAGCAGGUACAGUUACCUCGUCAAGUUCUACUUUCCUCCCACUCACUUCUUUCGAGAGAAACUCCUUCUCCAGAAAGUUUCCGAACUUAGCAACAAAAGUCUUGCCUUCGGAUCUGUGAUAGAAGGUGUAUCCAAUAGUCUCCUUUGGAUAUCCUAUGAAGACACAUUUCUCUGAUUUGGGUUCGAGCUUAUCAGGUUGAAGCUUUUUCACAUAAGCAUCGCAGCCCCAAACUUUCAGAAACGACAACUUUGGUUUCUUGCCAAACCAUAGUUCAUAAGGCGCUGUCUCAACGGAUUUUGAUGGUGCCCUAUUUAACGUGAAUGCGGCCGUCUCCAAAGCAUAACCCCAAAAUGAUAGCGGUAAAUCAGUAAGAGACAUCAUAGAUCGCACCAUAUCUAGUAAAGUACGAUUACGACGUUCGGACACACCAUUACGCUGUGGUGUUCCGGGUAGCAUGAGUUGCGAAACUAUUCCGCAUUGUUUCAAAUGUACACCAAACUCGUAACUCAAAUAUUCUCCUCCACGAUCAGAUCGUAGAAACUUUAUUUUCUUGUUACGAUGAUUUUCAACUUCACUCUGAAAUUCUUUGAAAUUUUCAAACGUUUCAGACUUAUGUUUCAUUAAGUAGAUAUACCCAUAUCUGCUUAAAUCAUCUGUGAAGGUGAGAAAAUAACAAUAUCCGCCACGAGCCUCAAUAUUCAUCGGACCACAUACAUCUGUAUGUAUGAUUUUCAACAAAUCUGUUGCUCUUUCCAUAGUACCGGAGAACGGCGUUUUAGUCAUCUUGCCCAUGAGGCACGGUUCGCAAGUACCAAGUGAUUCAUAAUCAAGUGGUUCCAAAAGUCCAUCAGUAUGGAGUUUCUUUAUGCGCUUUACACCGAUAUGACCUAAACGGCAGUGCCACAAAUAAGUUGCACUAUCAUUAUCAACUCUGCAUCUUUUGGCUUCAACAUUAUGAAUAUGUGUGUUACUACUAUCGAGAUUCAAUAAGAAUAGACCACUCUUCAAGGGUGCAUGACCAUAAAAGAUAUUACUCAUAUAAAUAGAACAACCAUUAUUCUCUGAUUUAAAUAAAUAACCGUCUCGCAUCAAACAAGAUCCAGAUAUAAUGUUCAUGCUUAACGCUGGCACCAAAUAACAAUUAUUUAGGUGUAAUAUUAAUCCCGAAGGUAGAUGUAGAGGUAGCGUGCCGACCGCGAUCACAUCGACUUUGGAACCGUUUCCCACGCGCAUCAUCACCUCGUCCUUAGCCAAUCUUCGCUUAAUCCGUAGUCCUUGUUUCGAGUUAUAAAUAUUAGCAACAGAACCAGUAUCAAAUACCCAGGUGCUACUGCGAGCAUUAGUAAGGUACACAUCAAUAACAUGCAUAUCACAUAUACCUUUGUUCACCUUGCCAUCCUUCUUAUCCGCCAAAUACUUGGGGCAGUUCCGCUUCCAGUGACCAGUCUGCUUGCAGUAGAAGCACUCAGUUUCAGGCUUAGGUCCUGACUUGGGUUUCUUCUCUUGAGCAGCAACUUGCUUGCUGUUCUUCUUGAAGUUCCCCUUCUUCUUCCCUUUGCUCUUUUUCUUGAAACUAGUGGUCUUGUUGACCAUCAACACUUGAUGCUCCUUUUUGAUUUCUACCUCCGCAGCUUUCAGCAUUGCGAAGAGCUCGGGAAUAGUCUUAUUCAUCCCUUGCAUAUUAUAGUUCAUCACGAAGCUCUUGUAGCUUGGUGGCAGUGAUUGGAGAAUUCUGUCAAUGACGCAAUCAUCUGGAAGAUUAACUCCCAUUUGAAUCAAGUGAUUAUUAUACCCAGACAUUUUGAGUAUAUGCUCACUGACAGAACUGUUCUCCUCCAUCUUGCAGCUAUAGAACUUAUCGGAGACUUCAUAUCUCCCAAUCCGGGCAUUUGCUUGAAAUAUUAACUUCAACUCCUGGAACAUCUCAUAUGCUCCAUGACGUUCAAAACAUCGUUGAAGUCCCGGUUCUAAGCCGUAAAGCAUGGCACACUGAACUAUCGAGUAGUCAUCAGCUUUGCUCUGCCAGACGUUCACAACAUCUGGUGUUGCUCCAGCAGCAGGCCUGGCACCCAGCGGUGCUUCCAGGACGUAAUUCUUCUGUGCAGCAAUGAGGAUAAUCCUCAAGUUACGGACCCAAUCCGUGUAAUUGCUACCAUCAUCUUUCAACUUUGCUUUCUCAGGAACGCAUUAAAAUUCAACGGAACAACAGCACGGGCCAUUUAUCUACAAUCAUACAUAAAACAAGCAAGAUACUAUCAGGUACUAAGUUCAUGAUAAAUUUAGGUUCAAUUAAUCAUAUUACUUAAAGAACUCCCACUUAGAUAGACAUCCCUCUAAUUCUCUAAGUGAUCACGUGAUCCAAAUCAACUAAACCAUGUCCGAUCAUCACGUGAGAUGGAGUAGUUUCAUUGGUGAACAUCACUAUGUUGAUCAUAUCUACUAUAUGAUUCACGCUCGACCUUUCGGUCUCCGUGUUUCGAGGCCAUAUCUGUAUAUGCUUGGCUCGUCAAGUAUAACCUGAGUAUUCCGCGUGUGCAACUGUUUUGCACCCGUUGUAUUUGAACAUAGAGCCUAUCACACCCGAUCAUCACGUGGUGUCUCAGCACGAAAAACUUUCGCAACGGUGCAUACUCAGGGAGAACACUUCUUGAUAAUUUAGUAAGAGAUCAUCUUAUAAUGCUACCGUCAAUCAAAGCAAGAUAAGAUGCAUAAAAGAUAAACAUCACAUGCAAUCAAUAUAAGUGAUAUGAUAUGGCCAUCAUCAUCUUGUGCUUGUGAUCUCCAUCUCCGAAGCACCGUCAUGAUCACCAUCGUCACCGGCGUGACACCUUGAUCUCCAUCAUAGCAUCGUUGUCGUCUCGCCAAUCUUAUGCUUCCACGACUAUCGCUACCGCUUAGUGAUAAAGUAAAGCAUUACAGCGCGAUUGCAUUGCAUACAAUAAAGCGACAACCAUAUGGCUCCUGCCAGUUGCCGAUAACUCGGUUACAAAACAUGAUCAUCUCAUACAAUAAAAUUUAGCAUCAUGUCUUGACCAUAUCACAUCACAACAUGCCCUGCAAAAACAAGUUAGACGUCCUCUACUUUGUUGUUGCAUGUUUUACGUGGCUGCUACGGGCUUAAGCAAGAACUAAUCUUACCUACGCAUUAAAACCACAAUGAUAGUUUGUCAAGUUGGUGCUAUUUUAACCUUCACAAGGACCGGGUGUAGCCACACUCGGUUCAACUAAAGUUGGAGAAACUGUCACCCGCAAGCCACCUAUGUGCAAAGCACGUCGGGAGAACCGGUCUCGCGUAAGUGUACACGUAAUGUCGGUCCGGGCCGCUUCGUCCAACAAUACCGCCGAACCAAAGUAUGACAUGCUGGUAAGCAGUAUGACUUAUAUCGCCCACAACUCACUUGUGUUCUACUCGUGCAUAUAACAUCAACAUAUAAAACCUAGGCUUGGAUGCCACUGUUGGGGAACGUAGUAAUUUCAAAAAAAUUCCUACGCACACGCAAGAUCAUGGUGAUGCAUAGCAACGAGAGGGGGAGAGUGUGAUCUACGUACCCUUGUAGAUCGACAACGGAAGCGUUAACUUGGUUGAUGUAGUCGUACGUCUUCACGGCCCGACCGAUCAAGCACCGAAACUACGGUACCUCCGAGUUCUAGCACACGUUCAGCUCGAUGACGAUCCCCGGACUCCGAUCCAGCAAAGUGUCGGGGAAGAGUUUCGUCAGCACGACGACGUGGUGACGAUCUUGAUGUACUACUGUCGCAGGGCUUCGCCUAAGCACCGCUACAAUAUUAUCGAGGACUAUGGUGGAAGAGGGCACCGCACACAACUAAGAAUAUGAUCACGUGGAUCAACUUGUGUCUCUAGGGGGUGCCCCUGCCUCCGUAUAUAAAGGCUCAAGGGAGGGGGGCCGGCCGGCCAGGAGAGGCGCGCCAGGAGGAGUCCUACUCCCGGAGGGAGUAGGACUCCCCCCUUUCCUAGUUGGAAUAGGAUUCGCGGAGGGGGGGGGAAGAGGAGAGAGAGGAGGAAGGGGGGCCGACCCCCUCUCCUUGUCCAAUUCGGACCAAGGGGGGGAGGGGCGCGCGGCCCAUCUCUGGCCACCUCUCCUCUCUUCCACUAAGGCCCACUAAGGCCCAUAUACCUCCCGGGGGGUUCCGGUAACCUCCCGGUACUCCGGUAAAAUCCCGAUUUCACCCGGAACACUUCCGAUAUCCAAACAUAGGCUUCCAAUAUAUCAAUCUUUAUGUCUCGACCAUUUCGAGACUCCUCGUCAUGUCCGUGAUCACAUCCGGGACUCUGAACAACUUUCGGUACAUCAAAAUGCAUAAACUCAUAAUAUAACUGUCAUCGUAACCUUAAGCGUGCGGACCCUACGGGUUCGAGAACAAUGUAGACAUGACCGAGACACGUCUCCGGUCAAUAACCAAUUGCGGAAUCUGGAUGCUCAUAUUGGCUCCUACAUAUUCUAUGAAGAUCUUUUAUCGGUCAGACCGCAUAACAACAUACGUUGUUCCCUUUGUCAUCGGUAUGUUACUUGCCCGAGAUUCAAUUGUCGGUAUCCUAUACCUAGUUCAAUCUCGUUACAGGCAAGUCUCUUUACUCGUUCUGUAAUACAUCAUCCCGCAACUAACUCAUUAGUUGCAAUGCUUGCAAGGCUUAAGUGAUGUGCAUUACCGAGAGGGCCCAGAGAUACCUCUCCGACAAUCGGAGUGACAAAUCCUGAUCUCGAAAUACGCCAACCCAACAUGUACCUUUGGAGACACCUGUAGAGCUCCUUUAUAAUCACCCAGUUACAUUGUGACGUUUGGUAGCACACAAAGUGUUCCUCUGGCAAACGGGAGUUGCAUAAUCUCAUAGUCAUAGGAACAUGUAUAAGUCAUGAAGAAAGCAAUAGCAACAUACUAAACGAUCGGGUGCUAAGCUAAUGGAAUGGAUCAUGUCAAUCAGAUCAUUCAACUAAUGAUGUGAUCCCAUUAAUCAAUAACAACUCUUUGUCCAUGGUUAGGAAACAUAACCAUCUUUGAUUAAUGAGCUAGUCAAGUAGAGGCAUACUAGUGACACUCUGUUUGUCUAUGUAUUCACACAUGUAUUAUGUUUCCGGUUAAUACAAUUCUAGCAUGAAUAAUAAACUUUUAUCAUGAUAUAAGGAAAUAAAUAAUAACUUUAUUAUUGCCUCUAGGGCAUAUUUCCUUCAGGCAUCGUUGCGUCAUAGUUGAGCAAAGAUGAACCGAGAUAGCACGAAGAGCACGAAGCUCACCAAAACAGACGACAAACAUGAGAGGGUCUUGAGCUCGGAGAGCAGAGGAUGACCAACCUCUAAGGGCAACGGAGGAUGAAUGGCGGCAAGGAGAUCCCUAGUGACGCCUUCAAGAAGGUGGACGACAUCCGAGGAUGACGCCGUCACAGAGCUUUCGCCUGGAGCAUAACCGGUUAAAUUCCCAGAUGGCAGAGCCGAGAGCUGCGAAUCCGGACCGAGAGACAGGAGUGGCACACGAGCCACGCCCCCAAGAGGGUAAGCGACGCUGGAGUAGCGCCGCCGUGGUCAGCUGACAAGGUCAGCGGGGAUUUCCCCCGUAGCACAUCCGUCAAUGGUGGGCCGCCAUCCAAGUGAAGACGAGGGGCGACAGAGGACAAGACCGAGACAGACAUGUGAGGCGGAUGGUGAACAGAGGAAGGACGAGUGGAGCAGGCCGCCGGUGAGGAGGGUGGAGACGAGGUGGGGUAGUGGAGUAGCGGGGACCGCUGUACCAUGACAGAGGGGUGGGGGCACUGCCGAGUGGAGGUUCUUCCCGGCAGGAACCGUCGGCGUCGGAGGUGGACAGAGGGUGGGGCACCCGAGUGGAGGUUCUUCCCGACAGGAACCUGCGGUGGCGGAGGCGAGGAGGCCAGGAGGGGUCCGACGCUGGAUCCACCGGACCAGUCGCAGCCCAUCCGUGACGGGCGCGCAGGGGUGCGGGGGCGGGGAGGGCGAGCAGGGUGGAGGCGUGGGACGGGUCGUCGAUGUGGAGGGGAGGGCGCGCCGGCGCCGGGUCUGCGGCCGCCCAGCUCGGGUCACGCAGGAGGACGGGGGCGAGGAGGAUCCGUGGGGAGCGAGGCGAGGUGGAGCGGGGUGCAUCAUCCGCCGGAGAGGAUAGGCGUGGCGAGGGGAGCUAUGGGUGCUGCGAGCCGAGGGAGAGCCGGAUCCGCACCCGGCACCGCCAGAUCUGUCGCCGGCCAGUCGAAAACGGACGUCCAGGAGGCCGAAAUGCGGCCGCGGGCGCCAGGGGCCAGGCCGCCCGCCCACCAAGCGCCCAUCACAGAGAGCAGUGCCCCGCCACCGCCGUUGGCCGCGUGGGAUUCUCCCGGUGGCGUCUUUCGGCGGCGGCGAGGGGGGAGAGGUGGGAGACGGGGUGGCGACGGCUAGGUUUUCGGUCGCCGUCCGAGUCGCCCUGGUGAGAGAGAGCGACACGGAGACCUUCAAUACUUUUCACUCCGCAAAUACGCAAGAGCGUUGCGUAUUAACGCAUUGUGCAGACAGCUAAGAAGAAACGAAUUGUGCAUAUAGAAGGAUUAGGGACCCUUAAAAUGGACAUAUAGUAUUUGUCCGUGGUCGCCUGACGUUUUUGCGGACACCUGUACAAGGCCAUCUAUCCAGCAUUUUCCCUAGACCUUCGUCCGCAAUACAUUUUUUAAACGGAUGGGCAAAUAUCAUGCAAACACGACCGUAUUCAUGCAAACCUUGACGCGGUGGAGAGGCGACGACGUCGGCUCCACCUUCACGCAGUGGAGUGGCGGCGCUGGACCAUGGUACUUGAGCGAUCGCUAGAGGAGGAGCUCCAGGUGCGCCUGCUACUCCUCCAUCACGGCAACCACCAUGAUGAGGCGCGACUACUGCUGCGACUCCUCGUCAUCGGGGAAGAGGAUGAUCUCCUCCUUCCCGAAGGAGGCGGUCGCCGUGGAGGUCGAUGGCCUAGGAGAGCGAUGGCGGUGACUCCACGAUCCGGGUCCGGAGCCACCCGUCGAUGCGGAGAACCAUGACAUUGGCACCAUCAAAGAAAAGAGAGGAGGGUCGACGACGGUGAGGGGAGAGAAGCGGAGCUGUGAUGGGGAAAAGAGAUAUGAGAUUGUGAUGCGAACGGCGUCGAGCCAUGCUUAAAUAGUCGCGCCCAGGUGGACGGGCAACUGGAUUCAAUGUGGCACACCGGCCGGAGUAGGCUUCUCGGGCACCUCGCCGGCAUUGCAUUGAAGCGGCGCCGCCCGCCGGCUUGUCCGAUCACGUCACUCUGACCGACUAGCCAUGACAACCCAUCUAGCCGUGGAAAGCCUGCUCGGGAGAAGAAAUUGGCUCGGUGGUGGCACAUACUGGUAAUAUUUGGUACGAGCUAACGAACCGGUACGCAACUUAAUUCACUUAGCGGUGGCAUCACAUGUAAAUUCUUGGCAACUCCUCCUUCGCUGUUUCGGAGGAGCUCAAGUUUCCCAGCUCCACGACUCCUAAAAAAUUACACUGCAAGUUUCGCCAGCUUCUCUCGCCCAUAGCCGGGAUUUCGAUCGUUCGGCUGCACUCCUGACAUGGAGUUGGGGAGCUGAGAAAAGGGAGGUCUCCCGAACACGCUCGGAGAUGGUAAUUCAAUCGACCCAACAAAAAGAGAGGCGACCAAGAAGGUCAAAAGGGGGGUCUGGGGGAGGAAGAGCGAGAAGGGGCGGUGACCAAAAUGACAGAAGUUUGAGGGCUUAAUGGACAAGAAGGAGGAGGCAUAUGUCAAGCACCUUAACAUCAAGGAGGAAAGAGAAUGCGAAGAGGUUUGUCAUCUUCAUGAUGGCGACGGAGAAGAAGAUCAGCCUCGAAAAGAAGAAGGCCAAACUCGAAGAGAAGAAGACCAAGCUCAGAAAGAGGAGGUUGAUCUCACAGCCACUUUUGAGGAAACCAAAAUGCUGAUCAUGAAGAUUGAUUAGUUGGAUCCCAACACGGCGAAGAUCGUGCAAAGACGUUGAAGCACUUGGCGAUAGAGAUGAAGGAGGCGGAAGCUGCGGAGAAGCCGACAACGAAGUGGUGAGGGAGAAGGCACGAACAACCAGUCUAGGAGGGCAAAAUUUGCACGGACUGCCGAACUGGCACUUUUGUGAUCGGGCACAUAUGAAAACUUAUAAACACCCGCCGUUCUUUUUGGGGUUUUGAACAUUGCAUGUGUAUGCACUUCUAUUUGGUUAUCAUAUUGCUAUUUUGACCAACAUUUUCACUUCAAAUGUAUCUAGAUUGGGUCGAACGUGACCGACGUUUUGGACACGCCGUUGGAUGCAUAUCUGUGGACUUAUCCACAGAGAAAUAGUGUGUCCGUUUUGUGGCACGGCGUUUGAGAUGCCCUUAGUGGAUUCCUCUGAAAAAUUUAAAAUUGGUCCAAUAUUAAUAGAAUAGAAGAAGAGUUGUUCCUAAACCACCUGCUCUGGUUACUCAGUGGCUCAACAUGUCUCCAGCUGAAGCUACCUGGAGGACGCCGACUUCAUCAAACAUACAUCUCCUGAAUUCUGAGUGAUUGUCAGAGCAUCUCCAACAGGCGCGCUAAAUAGGCGUCGCGCCGUAAAUAUACCCAUUUUAGCGUGCGCGCAACCCGGCGGAUGGCUCCAGCGGGCGCGCAAUAACCGCGCGCGCGGCAGAAAGCGGUACCUCGCGCGGUGUAUUUGCGGCGCCCGCUUUCGCACGCGGCACACUCGACGCUCGCGCUGCGCUCUUCUUCUCCCCCUCCAAAGCCCCGGGCGCGCCGGCGCCGGCGACCCGCACCCAUGGACGCACGCGCCGGCACCCCUCUCACCCCGNNNNNNNNNNNNNNNNNNNNNNNNNNNNNNNNNNNNNNNNNNNNNNNNNNNNNNNNNNNNNNNNNNNNNNNNNNNNNNNNNNNNNNNNNNNNNNNNNNNNNNNNNNNNNNNNNNNNNNNNNNNNNNNNNNNNNNNNNNNNNNNNNNNNNNNNNNNNNNNNNNNNNNNNNNNNNNNNNNNNNNNNNNNNNNNNNNNNNNNNNNNNNNNNNNNNNNNNNNNNNNNNNNNNNNNNNNNNNNNNNNNNNNNNNNNNNNNNNNNNNNNNNNNNNNNNNNNNNNNNNNNNUCAUGUCGCCGCGGAUGACCUCGGCGGCGGGUGGCAUCGCGCCGGCGCCGGCCCGAGCCGCCGCCCCCUCCUCCUCAAAGCUCCCCAAUGCGGCGCGGCCAAAGAAGGGCAAGACAUCAGCGAAGAAAAACAAGGUGGCGGACGGCUCCGGCACCUCCAAGAUGCCGUUGAAGAUCUUGCCAACACCGUCGGAGCUUCACGUGAUGCGGUGCGCGAUGAGGAGAGGGAGGAAGAUUCAUCUUCGAAGGCGGAAGAAUCGUCUUCCGAAGAUGAGGACGAGGACGAAGACGAGGACGAGGACGAGGAAUGAUGUGUCUCUUCAUUUGUGUAUUGAACUUGAUUUGCAUUUUGAACUUGGUUGGAUGAACUUGUGGGUAUGAUUUUAAACUUGUGGGCAUGAACUUCAUCAACCUGUUUUGUGUGAAAUUUUUAUUGUGUUGAAAAUGUUUAUCAUUUUGUGUUGAAAAUGCUAUAUGCAAUACACCGGCGAGUUGCGCGCGCUGUAUUUUAGCGCGGCUGCUGGAGCCAGCGCUGCGCGUCACGCCAAACCAGGCGAUGCGCACGUGGCAUAUCUAUUUUUUGCGCGCGGCACGACCGGGCGCCGGUUGAAGAUGCUCUCAUGACCUACAUCAAGCCUGCAAUUCGCCUACUCGGACGAAACUGAAGAAUUCGACAGUUGGACUGAAGAAGAGCCGAACCGGUGCGCUAAAUUGAUGGACGCUCAAAGUAUUCCGUCUCGAAAGUGGCGAUCAGCGGCUCUCAUCGACCAGGCCAAGCCAGCGACAGACGUUUCUAAAAAAAAAAAAAACAGCGAUAGACAGAGACGUUCAUAGGCUCCGUGAUUGCUGGCACCAACCAGCCAUUAAACCCAGCCGCAUCCGGUGGAUCGGCUUCAUCUUCUCCUUUCCCCAAGUGUAAACCCUAGCUACUUGUAGCCAACCUCUUAAUUCAGGCUAUCCGUGAGUGGAUUGAUCCGUCAAUAUCGUGCUAUUUCCUCUGAUCUGCUGAUUGAUCCUCUAGAUCCAGCCUUUGGCCCUCUCUCCCUAACGCGUGCCCGAUCCGAUCGAUCUGCAGACGCAGAAUCGAUCGAUGGGGUCCUUCCUCUCUUCGGCUGCCGGUGCCGGUGCCGGUGCCGCGGGCGAGGCUGAUCAUGGCGCACGCCCCCUCCGCUCUCCUACCAUAAAGGAGUGCACCCGCCGUAUGACAAACCAGGAGCUAGCUCGGUUAGACGGAUACGAUCCAGUAAGCUUCCAAGAACUCGUGGCCAGAGCAAAUGCUGGCCACCCCACGUUGGCACUAGAGUACGUUCCUCCCACCUACACGCUCAUUACCCCAGUCCCAGCUAGUUAGCUACUCCCUCCGUUCAGAUGUUUUAGAUAUUUUAAUAUAAAUUACAUAUGGAUUGAAAUGAGUUAAAAAUAUAUCUAUAUACUCCCUCCGUUCAGAUGUUUCCAAAAAAUACAACCCAUUUAGAAAAAAAUAAUACUAUUUCAGUAUGGACUAUGUGCGGGCUGAAAUGAGUUAACAAACACACUAACACCUAGUUUGGCAACGCAGUUUUUUCAAAACCACAGUAUUUCAAAACCUCUGUAUUUUAAUGUGUGGACAAUAUACUUUGGUUUCUCAAAAGUAUAGUUUUUCUAAGUUUUGGUAAAACCGUGGAGGCGUUUGGCAAAGGGCAGUUUUAUUAAGUUUCUCUGAUUUUGACAGAUUGUUCUGUUGUUGCAUGGAUAAUCUUGACCAUACCUAGCUGCACUCACGGCUGGAUCAACUCGUGCUAACGGCCGCCGUAUGCAUGCUGGGCAUGGGCACGUUCUCUACUGGAUGCUAGGACACAUAGUCGAGUUAUCUUUUGUGAUCCAUCAAAGAUGGAGCAUUCUGACAGGCACUGAAGGUGCAGCUUGCGCGUCUAGAAGAAGCAGUGGUAAAAAGGAGCAGGGGCUAAUAAGUCAUCCGUAUGUGUACUCUGGCCAGAUAGAUCUAUCAUCUAGCAUGUUCACCCGCAAAAAUCAUCUAGCAAAGUAUUGGUCAUAAGAAGAUGAACUCAAAGAGACCAAUGAGCCAGCGUUUCUCAGUUUUAAAAAAAGAAGUCCCGACCUCUUUUUCAAAUACUACAAAAAUACCACAGUUUUACAGAUACUAUGGUUUCUUAAGCUACAAUAUUUUUUUUAUCCAAACACCUCAAAGUAUUUAAUACUGAAGUUUUUGUAGAAACCACAGUAUUACUAGAAAACUUCAAAAAAUACUUAGCUCCCAAACGCACCCUAAAAUGUCUCUAUAUACAUCCAAUUCAGAAAAAGGCUAAUCGUAGAACAUCUUAUAUUUGUGAAUGGGGUAGUACCCAAUUUCUUCUUUUCUAUAUUUAAUUCAAGAAUUAUGUCGAAUAACGAACGAACGAUAGGACCAUGUUUACCUUUUGUUCUGAUUGACAGCAAGGUCGACUCCGCCGCUGUUUGUAAGCUUGUCCGCUGCGCCCUCAAACACUACAACUCCAAAAACCCGGUAGGUACUCCCAGCAACUCAGGGGACCUAGCGGCUUCCCAAUUCUACAAUCUUCAGUUUCGAUCCUCUUGGAUGUGCAUCAUCUGCUAGUACUGUCUUGACGCAGGGCGCCGACUUCGAGUAUCCCGCCGAGCUGACCACGGAGAUGAAGGCCACUGGUAUCAGUUUCAGGGAACGUUUCUGGUACCACGUCGGUUUCUUGGCGCGCCGGAGCUUACAUUUUUUUUUUUCACUUUUCUCUCCAUUUUUUUCCUUGGUCCCUGACCGCCACACACUUUUUGUUAUUACCAUGUUCUCCCUGCUAUGAAUCAAUGAAAUAACUAGCAAUUGCUGGACAGUUUAAAAAAAAAGAUGAUGAGUUCCAACACUUCUUUGCCGAGCUACGCUUCAAUGAGUGGACCCGCAGACCAAAUGUUCAAACAUGCACCAUCUUAGGUGCAUAAUCAACCAUACCAGCUAACCGUGCUGUAUAUAUAUGCAAUUUGAUCAACCCUAGCUAAUUCUCUAUAUGUCCUUCCCUAUUUAUGUUGACAGAAAAGCCGUUGUGCCGCUUCAGAAGCAGGUGUGCUUUUUGUACAGAUGGGUCUAAGAUUUUGCACCCAAGCGAUACGGAAUUUGCGUGUGGAAAGGAGGGGCACGAAAAGAAAUUCUUCAGCAAGAAGGAUAUGCAAGUGUGGCCGAUUGAUCCUAUGAGACAUGCAUCGCGGACGUAGGAUAUUUAUAUGAUGUUCUUUGUAUUUGUCAUCCUUGUUGUUUAAUUUCCUGGAUCAUAAGAGAAAUAAAUUAUUGUCUGAGCCUCACCGCGCACACGAUCCUUGCUUUUUGAGCAUGAAAGACGUCUAUAAAAUUUGAGCAGUUGGAGAACUAAAUCAAAAUGUAUGCUGUAAGCUAGAUUACCACAAUCCAUGUGCUGACUCUCAGACACUCUGUUCAGGAUUAAACUUUGGUCAUUGGACAUAGGUGGCAUAUGGAAUCCAUAAGCUGACCCUCAGAUACUCUGUUCAGGAUUAAACUUCAGUGCUAUAGGCUUCUAUGCUUAGCGAUUAAAAACCGCCCACCCCCGCCAACGCCAGCCCUUCCUUUAUAACCAGCCCUCCUCCACACCUCCCAGAUACACAACCAACACCACCACCCUCACAAGAAGGCAACUGCGCAGGCGACGCCGUUGCUUCCGGUGCCUCAGCCGCGACCACGUCGUCUUCGACUGCCGCAACCCCGUCCACUGCGCCCGCUGCUGGCGGUCUGGUCACCGGAGUUUCAGGUGCACAGCCCCUCGCCUGCUUCCUUUCUUCCCGCCCCUACCUCGCAACCCUAGAGCUGACCUUAACCCCUCCUUCUGCCUCCCGAGAACCAUGAGCCCGGACGCCCCUACUCGCGACGACCACGCUGCCAGUGACGCCCAUGCAGCACCGUCGGAGGCGGGCCUGGUGAUCGGAUCCAUGCGCCUCGACGUCAACCCUACGGCCACCUCGCUCCCUCUCCGGCUCGGCGUCCCUACCACGCCACGACGCAUCGCCGAGCCUGAUCUCCUCUGCCCAGAGCAGGCCGUCGACCUCAACUCCUCGCCACCGGAGUUGUCCGUGCCUGUGGACAGUACCGCGGUCAAGCUGCGCCUCCACCUGGUCAAGGCCGUCCGUGACCUUGAUGACGCCGCUGCGGCCACCGCAGCUCGCCUCUCCCUCCUUCCCCCAAACCCCACACCCACUACCCGCUCCACGGACUCCGGCUCCUGCUUCAACAGGGGUCCUCCGACCUUUGCACCCAUCCCACGCCCCACCACUCCCCCCCUCAUCGUAGCUCCCCCCACCUCGUCCAAGACGACAUUGCUCGCUACGCCUUCGUCCACUUCGAGACCCCAGUGCACAACCCUUUCCCUGACAUCCGCCGUGUCCUACGGGAACGCGCUGGUGACCCGCUCGUCCGCGUCGCCGCCUCCUUUCAUGGAGCCGCUCUGGUGUCCUUUCCCAACGCUGCUGCCCGUCAUGAUGUCAUUCGCCGCGGCCCCCUUCAUCUCCAUGGCAACACCAUCACCUUUGAGCCUGCCGAGGAUCACGGCCGCUCCACCGCCCAGUUCGAGGAUGACCUAACUGAGCUUGAGGCCAUCGGCUUUCCCCUUGAGCCGUGGCAUCCUGCUGGCGUCCACUUUGUUCUUAACUUCCUUGGCCACAUCUACACCAUAGAUCAAUAUUGCAUCAUGGAUGAUGAGCGCACAUCCAUCCGUGCCACGGUUGCUCUUUUCAAGGGCACAAAGCUCCCCGAUGCCCUCACCGUCCAGCUCCCGAACCUUGACAUACUCAUGGUCGAUUUGCAUGAGCACGGCAAAAUCUCCCGCAUCGGGCCCAGUGACCCCUCUCCUUUCUCAUCCGACGAUGGCAGCUCCGACAGCAACCAGGAGGGCUAUGGCUCCGUUGGCAGCGCCUCGAGCCUGGGACUCCUUCGUGCCACUGCUGCCAUGGCCGCUCUUGGCUCGAUUGUUGUCUCUCCCGAGUUUCCUCAAGGCCCGCCCUCCUCCCCCUCCCGCAACGCCGACCUCGCCGCCAAUGCCUUCGUGCACCUCGCUCUUUCAUCCUCUGAUGAGGAUGUGCCUGUGGCCAAUCUGGGCCUGGCCUCUCCUGUCGUCCUGGAUGACAUCCUGCUUAACAUGCCUCCCCAUCCAGUAGAUCUCUCUCACGCGCCCUCCGCUACGUCACCUUCACCACCUUCACCGCCUGUGCCUCAGAUCAUCUCCUCCCCCUCCCCUAGCAACGCCUCCACUCUGCCCACUCCACCUGCAGCUCCCACUCCUAUCCCCCCCGCUGCCGCUGCCUCUGGCGUGCUGCGUACCUACGUGCGCCGUCUGCGCUCCGCCGCGGCUCUGGCUGCACCUGUCGUGGCCCCGGAGGCUCCGAUGCACGUUGCCGUGGCAAACAAACGCCGCAACGCGAAGAAGAGGGCCAAGGAUGUUGUCCAUGUGCGUCGGAGCACGCGCCUGGCCAAGCUUGAGCCAUACGGGCGUCUUCACAUGGAGGAAAAGGCGUCCAAGGCCAAAGCAAAGCGCAUGGACCUGCUGCUCGAUGCCAAGGACUUUGAGGAUGCCGUUCACGAUGCCAAGCUGGAUGAUGACGACCUGGAGCCGGCCUCCCCUCAGUCCUGGCUGCCCUGGCGCAGGCCUGCGGCUCUCCCAUGGAGGAGGUCGAUCUCGUCGCAUCAGCAGCGACCGCUGCCCGCCUCUGAUCUUGCCAUGUGGGCUCUAUCUAUCUAUCUGUAUUGUAGUUUGGUGUCAUGUUGUUUCCUUAGAUGAGUAAUGCUACCUUAUCAGUUUGUUCCUGGAACAUUAGAGGUCUGGGCGAUGUUGACAAAUGUACGGAUGUGCUCUCCGAACUUUCAUCUAUUAAACCUCAUCUGCUGCUUCUGCAAGAAACGAAACUUGCUGCCCCGUCUAUGCUCAAAAUCAGAUCUUUUCUCCCUCGGUCUCUCGAUAUGCAGGUUACGCUACCAGCUACUGGAACUUUCGGUGGGCUGCUCACAGCCACGAACUCCUCCUUCCUUACGAUUCUCUCCCACACGAACUACGCCUACUGCUCGACGGUUCAAGUACAAUCUUUGGCAAGCCCCCUAACUUUACACAUCACAAACGUGUAUGCCCCCAUGAACCGCGCACUUAAGCUUGAAUUCCUAGCUGAAUUGGCCUCCAUCGCUCCACCUGAUCACUCCCCUUGGCUCCUCGUCGGGGACUUUAACCUUAUUCGCUUCCCGAACAAGAAAAACAACAACAACUUUCACUCCAACGAGGCCACUGCCUUUAACGAGACCCUUAACACACUUGCCCUCCUAGAACUCCCCCUUCUAGAUCGUCGGUUCACCUGGUCUAACAACAGAGAAUCACCGGUGCUAGAACGCCUGGAUUGGGCUUUUUUUAACCUAGCUUGGAAUAAUGCCUUCCCCAACUCCAACCUCACGACCCUCACACGCACCACCUCCGAUCAUGUCCCCCUGCUUAUCUCCCUUUCCACCUCCGUACCGCGCUCCCGCCUUUUCAGAUUUGAACGGUUUUGGGCCUCGAGACUAGCUUGUAAACAAAUUGUAGCCCAGGCCUGCAGCAUGCCCCAAGCACCCACCUCUUCUGCCUCGGCCCACCUAGCCCAUAUCCUUCAAACCCGCCGCUCCCGCCUAAAGCGAUGGGCCAAAACCCUUUCCCCCGCCCAUGUCCGGGAAGCUAGGUGCAAACGUGUAAUUGAUCUCUUAGACCGAAAGGAAGAGCGCCGGACCCUAACUCCAGCAGAAUUCUGUCUUUGUAACGUCCUAAAGCUUACUCUGCAAAGAGCUACUCGUGAUCGAUCCAUUCUCCUGCGCCAACGUGCUAAGUUUAAAAAAGCGACCCUUGGUGAUGAAAACAAUAAAUUCUUCCAUGUGUCAGCCUCCCAGUGCUUCCGCAAGAACAAAAUCCCGGUCCUUAUCGAUCAAGGAAUCGAGUUUCACUCUCAUUCAGAAAAAGCCCGCAUUCUCAAAUCUUUUUACCAUAAUCUACUUGGUGUCGCUGUAGAUACUAAUUGGAGUUUCAGCCUUGCACAACUCUACCCUACCCAAAUCCCUCAACUUCGACACCUUGACUCGAACUUCUCUGAGGAAGAGAUUAAGAUAGUUUUCCUUCAAAUGAACUCCAACGCCAGCCCUGGUCCUGAUGGUUUUGGUCCCAGUUUCUACAAAACCUUUUGGACCAACAUCAAAACCCCCCUCCUUGCUUUCUUCAAAGACUUUGAGAACAAAACUGCGGAAACCAAGCGUUUCAACAGAUCCACUAUGGUCCUACUGCCCAAAUCUACCAAUGCCCAAUCUGCAGACAAGUUUCGCCCUAUCGCCCUCCAGAACUGCCCCAUCAAAGGCAUUGCCAAAGUUCUUACCAACCGUCUAAAAACUUACAUUCCCUUGCUUGUUCAUGGGGACCAAACUGGUUUCAUCUCAGGAAGAUGCAUUGCCGAAAACUUUAUGUAUGCAGCAGACCUCAUAAAUACUUGUCAUAAAAGAAAAGCCACUGCGAUGGUGCUAAAACUGGAUUUCAGAAAAGCUUUCGACUCUGUGUCUUGGCAUGCCCUUCUCCUCAUCCUGCGGCAUUGGGGAUUCCCCAGCCGUUUUUGCUCCUGGAUUUCAGACUUGCUUACCUCUGGCAAAACGGCUGUCAUGCUUAACGGUGUUCAGGGUGAUUGGAUUAACUGCAAAAACGGCCUGCGCCAAGGCGACCCCGUGUCCCCUACCUUUUCAUCAUUGUUGCAGAUGUUCUUCAGCAGCUCAUUCUAACCGCCAACGCAUCUUCCCCCGACCUUCGCCACCCGAUCUACCCUGAUCUCCCACCGGCCAUUUUACAGUACGCCGAUGACACGCUCAUUAUCACCCAUGCUUCCCCUAAUGCCGCCAUUCUUCUUCGAUCUCUGCUGGACCAGUUUGCUCAGGCCACGGGUCUGCAAAUUAACUACUCAAAAACCACGUUUAUCCCUAUGAAUCUAGACAAUGCAAUCACUCUCCAAAUAGCUCAAACUCUAGAUUGUCCUGUUUCCAGCUUUCCACAAACUUACCUAGGCCUGCCGCUCUCCCCAGUUAAGCUGACUGCUGCGGCCUUUCAACCAAUUAUUACAAGCUGCGUUAGUUACCUUCCUGGUUGGUGUGCUAGACUCCUUUCUCGUCCCGGUCGUCUGGUGCUCGUUUCCUCUGUGCUAGACUCGUUAGCUGCGUACUUCAUGUCUGUCUUCAAACUGCCCAAAAAGACGAUUAAAAAGUUGGAUGCCAUUAGACGUGCGUUUUUCUGGGCUGCCAAUGAGACUUGUUCAGGUGCCCAAUGCCUUAUUGCAUGGUCUAACAUAUGUAAACCAAAAGAGUUCGGUGGUCUAGGCAUCAAAGAUUUAUCUAUACAGAAUGACUGCUUGCUUAUGAAGUUUGCUUACAAAUUCCUCGCCACCACCUCCCACCACGAAUUACCCUAGGUUGUAUGGCUAAACAGAGUCCACUUAUACAGUAUCCCACAGAUAGCUUCAUGCAAAAACCCAUCCUAUUUAACCAAGGCUGUGCAAAUCCAACUUCAGACUCUCUCCUCCAUCACCUUCAUCCUCACAAACAACGGCCUUAAAACUUUCUUCUGGCAUGACACGUGGCUUGCUCAUGCUCCCCUUGCUCAGCUUUUUCCAGGACUUUAUUCUCAUUCCACCAACAAACACAUCCUAGUAUUCCAUGUCAUGCAGUAUGGGCUACUUAUGAACCUAACGGAUCGGCUAACCUCGGCCACCUCGCGCGAGCUGGAUGCUGUGUUGUUGUUAUUGCAGGACUUUUCUCUGUCUCCGAGCCCUGACGAGAGGCAUCUGAUCCACGGCUCUUCAUUCUCCUCGCGAGCUGCUUACAAGCUGCUCACUCAUGAGAAUCAAGAACAUGAUCACGCCAUCUUAAUUUGGCGCUCAAAGGCGCACCCGAAGCUGAAGCUCUUCGCUUGGCUACUCUUCCAUGGCCGCCUUAACACCAAGGCAAACCUGUUCCAUAAGCACAUUGGCAUGGGUGCUAGGUGUCCACGAUGCUCGGCUACCUCUGAGGAUACAACACACCUUUUCAUCACAUGCCCUAAAGCAUAGCUGGUCUGGCUGCAGCUCGGCCUCACUCCAACUGUCAGAACUCCAGAUCUCUGGCUUUCUGCACUCCCACAAGGCCUUGACUCUUCUACAUGGCCCGAGGUGCUUCUUGCAAUUCUGUGGAAAAUCUGGGAUUCACGGAAUGCUGUUGUGUUCAGGAAUGAAGAUCACACUGCUAUCUUCACAAUAUCCAACAUUUGUAAUGACUUUGCUCUUUGGACCAACCAGUUCCAUGUACCGGUAGAUAAGGUUUCAGCCACAUCCUGGCUGACAUACCUCUCCUCACGGCUUGCUGUAACCCUGUAAACCCUCUCCUCGGCUUUCGCUGAGCUUUGAGUAAUAUAAUUCAGGUGGGGAUCCUCUCCCCCCCGGUGAUUCCUCAAAAAAAAAUUAAAAAAUGAAAAUGGAACAGAGAUUUAAAGUAUUGGACAUCAAGUUCCUGUAUGGCUGUAUCAAACCUAUGAUAGUUGUCCUCUACCAGGUUUGCUCAAACAUCAGCAUUUCUUUACAUUGUUUCUAGUAUCAAACACCAAAUCAACUGCAAGGCACUGGUGUAAUGAUGAAUAUGCACUUGCAAUAUUUAUAGAGCUUACCCUUCUGCUCAAGCAGAGCAAAUACGGUGUAUAGGUUACACAUUUAAUCCAUGGUGUUGCUUUUUUAGUCUUAAAGUGUAAUCUGCUCGCAACUUGCAUUCCUUAACUGCUUAUACAUGGUAUACAGUAUGUUACUGGUGAAUGUUUGUAGGAUUGAGUUUCUAGAUUAGUGGAUACAUUGUCCAGUGAUUUAUUUGUUAUCGACUAUUCUAGAUUAGUGGAUAUAUAGUACAUAUUUGUGAUCCUUGUUUUGACAUGUCGACUCAAUUCAAUACUACUGGGGAUAAAUACUCGGUAUUCUUUGUGAAACAAAACAAACUUCCUUUUUAUUGUUCUGUUACUCACUGUGAAAUCUUGAAGUUAACCCUAUAGAAACUUUGGACCGGUUUUAACAUUUAACAUCAAGUUGUGCAAUUGGUGUACUGAAAUAAUUUAAUUAUUAUCUUCUUAUCUUUUGGACACUGACUUGACAUACCUUCUCUUUAUUGCUGAUGUGCCCAACCUUCUUGCUUUAGGUUUACACCUUCGUGUUUCUGUUACGAAUAAUUCCACUAGUGAAACAGUAACAGAACUUGAUGAAUUAUAUUUCCCAUACCUGCAUGUCCGGAUAAUAAAGAUGCAAGGCAUGUUAAGACAUAUGAUGUUGCACUGAAGGAGAAAGGCUUUGUAGACGGUCCGUGGUGUCAAAAUUAUUGGCUAGGGGACAGCUAAGAAAGUUUUGGAAGCUACUCUCCCACCCUCACCCCUAAAAAAAAAGGAAAACCAGUUACAACUAACAGGGCACUGCACCCACACAAAAGUAUGCCUGCAUGUGCAAAAAAAUGUGUGCACUUACUGGAAAAGAGUUUCAAUCAUCCUUUAUGUUGUUCCUUAAAAUUAAAAUUUGCAGUAAGUUAUUCAUUGCUCUUGACAGCUGGUAAAGCUGAAUCUCCUACCUGAUGCAUCUGGUUCAUUUGUUGAAAUCCUUCAACGGUACCCAUUGUGGACUUCUGCAUGGUUCACCAAAAGGAUUUUCAGUCAAUGUUGCAUCAGCUAAUGCCAGUCAGGUUGAUAUCUUCAUGGGAUCCCCCUCUUUCCCUUUGGGCAAAUGUCACCUCUUCGAGUAGGAGAUGAGGUAUUGCCAGUACCCAGUGAUGAGAUGACAUGCUUAUUAAACAUUUGUGUGUGACUGACAGAAUACCACUUCGGGUAUUCAUGUUUUAAUUCUUCAUCGAGACAAAUGAUUUUUUUGCGGCAAAACACAAAUCAAUUUGACUUCACAUCAAUUUUAGCUUUCCACUUUAAUUUGAAAUACCGGCCCAUUAUGUGUUUGCAGGUCCUAACUCAACCUGACCGCAGCUACCAUUAUCAGUAUCAGUCUGCAUUUCGUUUGUCUUCAGCAAGAUGUUCUUCGGGCCCAUGCGUCUCGGGUCAUAUGACUGGGCUAGAAGUAACGCGGAUACUUGAUGCUAAUACACUCGUGACCUCAGAUGGUAAGUGGGAAGUUCCAUGUUUUUGGUUUUCUUCUACGGUUCAAGUUCCCAUUAUUUCUACACAUAGCUAAAUGACAGUCGACUGAAUGUCAAAUUGAGGUCAGUCGAUUUUUGAGAGUUCGCCGGAGAAAGGCCGGAGGGGAGGAAGGAGAAGGAAGGGCUCAACGAAGGGCUACCCCAUUAUUUAUCUUAGGGUUUAGGGUGAGGGCGGUGGGGGGGCUUCGCCAGAGAAAAAAAGGGGACACGGGCGGGGCUAGAGGGAUGGCUAGCGGCGCGGUAAGACCGGCGGUGGGGGGCGGUUCAGGGGAGGGCGGUGCGGCGAGGCGGUUGCGGGAACGCCCGCGGCCCGGCCGGUGGUAGCAGGUGGCGAGAGGAAGACCGAGCAUGAUCUGUUUCUGUUUCCAGGAGGAAGAAGACGUGAGCAUCACCGUUCGUUUGUCAUCCAACGGCUGAAAAUGGUCCCAAUUCAGUUUUUCAGGCGACUUACGUUUAGCCAGUCCCGAGUUUUUCUUCCGACGCAAUCUGCUCUCAGCCUUGGAUUCAGUCUGAGAAGUCAAUAAUCAAAAUGACGAGCAGCAUUUUUCCAACGUGAGGAUGUAAACCUGAAACUAAAGAACAUUCAUGAUGUUGCAGGGCUUCUUUGUUUAUCCUUUGGGCAUCAUCGUCUGUGAAGCACAUCACAGUGAAGCAGUGACUCGAUCGCCUUUUGCUGCUUUUGGUGAGUUACUGUACUCAUCCACCCUCUUCCCCAAUCAGUUAGGACUUAGGACACCACGAUCAUUGCCCAAUACAGACAGUGAUGCCAAGUUCAAGCAGAAAUGAUGUGAGUGUGACUCAAAGAAAGUUAAAGUGACAAGAUUCAUUUCAACACAGUGAAGUACAGUAGGACACAAACAGCCCCGGGGGUUUUAUCCUCCUUUUCGAGAAAAAAAUAGUAGGACACAAACCGGAAACAACACACAUAUCGAUGGUAACUACAAGCAAUGCAACGAGCAUGUUAUUCUCAACACACUGAAAAAAGAGGCUGCAACCCCGCAAACCAUGUGCCAUUUCAUGCACCGGCGGCCGCCGGACUCACGUAGACGAAGGCAUCCAGCUCGAGGACGGCGCUCCCCCCACGCCAGCUCGCGGUUUUCCAGAGCACGUACCCCGUCGCCAUCCUGAAAACCCCGGUCCCGCCAACCACCGCCAGCUCCCGCUCCGGCAUCAUGACGUUGUUGCGGCCCAUCACGGCCAGCGAGCUCCCGUUGUAAGGCCCGUCGGCGAGCAGGACGUUCAUGGUGAGGAGCACCGCGGGGUCGCCCUGAGACGCUGUCACGUAGAAUCCCUGGGCACGCCCAACGACUCUCGAGGCCGGCGUAGGGCCCUCCGUGAGGCGGUCGUCCAUGACCAUUGUGUCACCGAACCGGGCGCUGCCGCCGGAGCCCUUGAGCGGCUGGCCGGUCCCGUUGGCGAUCAGAACGGUGGUGGGUUUGGGGCCAGUGCUGGAGUCGUGCAUGUAGAAGUGGAGAUGUUUGGGGGCACCCUGCGUGCCCACGCCGUGGGCGGCGGAGGCAAAAAGGACGGUGGCCAUGCCGGCCGCGAGUAGCGUGGCUAGAGAUGCAGAGGUGAGGUGGGAAGCCAUGUUGAGCAUGCUUGGGAAGAGGCCGGUGUGUCCAUGUCCUUAAAUAGUGUGAGCCACCCAAGGUCGAUCAUUAGCCCCGAGGGUAGUCCCACGCUACUCGUCGGCCAACUGAUCUUUUGCAAAAUCGGCCUAGUCGCGAGCAGUUGGAUCGGCACGAUCGUGCGGCCCAGCGCCAGGCAGUAGCUUUACGUAUUCAAGCUACAUUUCUCUCAAAAAAAAACGUAUUCAAGCUACAUGUAAUUAAACUUAAUACUAAUGGAAUAAGUUAGUAAGUUUUUGUGACUGAAACUUGCUGAAAAUAUAAUUUUGCUUUAUUUAUUUAUUUUUAGUUCAUAAAUGAUAUUGUUAGAAAGAUCCUGACGUGCAGUCUUAGUAUUGAAGUGAAAAUAAUGGCAAUAAUUAUAAGUAUGCACUAGGAGAGUCAUGUCAUUUCCUUAAUAGUACAAACUGAAACAAACUUGUAGUUUGCAACGACCCCCCCCCCCCUCGGUCACACGCGCUGGCAACCCCGGGGGGCGAAACCCUAGUACCCAACUUCCUACCCACCCCGAGCUCCCUUAGACGCUGCCGCUGCCGGUGUUGGCGGUGAUGGCGGCGCCCGGCCACCGAAGGGGGCGGGCACGGUCGGCGUGCCCCGACGAGCCUCCCUCGCGCAGGGGAGCGGCGUCAUAUGGGCGGCGUAGGGUGGAUUUGAUGGCGCAUGGCGGAGCUAAUGGCGCGUGACCGAGAGGAGGAGGCGGCUGGGGCUCGCGGGAGGAGAUGGUCGCGGCACGGUGGAUCCUUCAGGAGGUGACGGCGCGGGACAAGCGGGCGGCGGCACAAUGAGGCCAUGGCGGCGUGGCGGAGCUCGCCAGGAGUGGUUGCCUUGCAGCGGUCGAGUAUGUCGCGUCCUCGAAUGCCUCCGUCGCGGUGCCUGCUCCAGGUCGCGGUUGUGGAAGAUGGAGGCGGUGGCGUGGGCUUCUGCCGGAGUUGGCUUGACGGCUGCAAUGUGCGGCUCGUGGCAUUCCUUGGUACAGUUGGGAGGGAGUUCUGCGAGUUCGCAACCGCGGGGGAGGUUAGUUGUAGGGGUGUUUUGCUUCUGUCUGUGAGGGUCUUCGGUGGACCAGGACAGCUCGGCUAUGCCGGCGAAGUGCUGCAACAACGGCAGAGUGGUCAACUUGAACGGUGUGGCCCCAAUCCGGAGGGCAAGGAUGGAGGUGUGCGGCAAUUCAGAAGAAAUUCUAGGCCGCAUUCGGUCGGUAUUGGUGGCGCCGGCGCCCGUGGGUGUCAUUUUUCUCCUUGGAGGCGUCGCCCAGGUGUGUCGACAUCUCCCUCGCUCGCUCAUGGGCUUGGCAGAUGUCUUCAGGCAAAAGCCUAGGUUCAGAGUUGAACCGGCGUGAUGACGACGUCCUCAUCGUCACAACUCUGUUGGGAGCAUCGCGCUUGAAGGCCAGGUCUUGAGGUUCCUUGUUGCGCUACUUCCGAUGCUCGCUGUUGUCCAAGGUUAGCUUCAGAGGCACAAUGUACAUCGCAGCCGGUGAUUGGGAACUGAAACCCUUCCCCCGNNNNNNNNNNNNNNNNNNNNNNNNNNNNNNNNNNNNNNNNNNNNNNNNNNNNNNNNNNNNNNNNNNNNNNNNNNNNNNNNNNNNNNNNNNNNNNNNNNNNNNNNNNNNNNNNNNNNNNNNNNNNNNNNNNNNNNNNNNNNNNNNNNNNNNNNNNNNNNNNNNNNNNNNNNNNNNNNNNNNNNNNNNNNNNNNNNNNNNNNNNNNNNNNNNNNNNNNNNNNNNNNNNNNNNNNNNNNNNNNNNNNNNNNNNNNNNNNNNNNNNNNNNNNNNNNNNNNNNNNNNNNNNNNNNNNNNNNNNNNNNNNGCGGGCGACCGGUCGCGCGUCGGGCCUCCUCCCUCCAGGCUCCCCCCCUCCCUUCUUCCUUCUCGCCGCCGUCGCAAGCGCUCGCGGCCGGCUUGGUCCUGGGGCUGUUGGUGGCGGCGGCCUCCUGGCCCUUCCCAUCCCGGUCGCUCUCCGGCGCGGGCGGAGCGGCUCCGGGGGGUGCAUCUAGGCGGCGGUGGUCUGGCGUGGCGGCAGGGCUCCGUGGCGCAUGCAGGCGAGCAAUUGGGCGGCGGCGCCGCCGUUGGCGGCGGGAUCUGGCGUCGUCCGCUCGGCCCAGAUCUGGGCCUGGGCGGGCUGGCGGCGGGGAUGGCUCCGGUGUGGCUUCUGGGAGGCGAGGGAGAUGCGACGCGUGGCUGGGUGCCGGCGGCGACGACGCCGACCUGCUGCAUCAUGGCCGGCGGGGCUUAACGGGCCUGCUUCGGGCCUGGCUGGGCCAAGGGUGGCCCGGCAUGCCCCGCUGCCGCGUCCGAACGGCUACCGCGACGGUGCCGGAGGCACGGGCUUCUUGCACGAUGGCGGUGGAGGUGGUUCCCUCCCGCUCGGCGUCGAUGGUGCUGCUCCUGUCGUGGUGAGCUUCUCUCCGAUCCUCUUGGCCUCGUGGUGGUUUUUGUAGUGAGGCGGCUUGGAUGGCGGCGCUACUACGUUGGCGAUGGUGUUGGGCGACGGUUUGGCGGUCGGUUCCGUUCGGUUGGGCGGUUGGGGUUGGAAUGCGGGAGAAAUCCCUGCCAGCUUCGGCCCCAACGCGGUGACACCUGCGGGUGCCACCAUUCCUCCCUGGAGGGUGUCGGUGGUAUCCACCCCCCACCUCCCUCCGCGUGCCCGGGGAAACUUGAGGACUCGUCCGGGCAGCAGCGUCGUCGGCGUCGGAUUCCUUCUUGGAGGUGAUGCUUGGUACGCGGCGAAUCGAAGCCUCGGUAUGUGGUGUUUUGUUUCCGGUGGACGCCACGGUGGCGGGUCAUCCGCGCUUUGCCAAGUUGUCGUGGUUGGCAUUUGUUUCUUCUUCUUUUUCUCUUGGUGUGUUGUGCUGCUCGGCACAGCGUUAUCUGUACUCGGUGUUGGUUGCUUUGGAAUAUAAAGCGGGAGAAAACCCUUUUUCAGUAAUGUACGUCGCAGCCGGUGAGAUCAAGACGGUGCUUUAGUGUACCGACCAAUUUCCGCCAUCUACUUGCCACCUACCUUUUGACAUCAAGGGUGGAUGGUGUGUCGACCAGGGAAGUACAGUUGGAGUUAUUGUUGUCUACGGAGGUGACCGGCGCUGGUCGAGACGCGACGAUGUUAGGCUUAUUUUGCUUUGUAGUUGUGUUUUGGUGGUGGCUGUCUUCGGACCAGCCCUGUCGUGGAGUCUAUGCUACGCUUGUUAUUUGUAACAAGUCGUAGUUGUCUUGUAAUUACAAUUCCGUCUUCUAUAAAACAAGGUACGCAUUCGCGUACUUUUGAAAAAAAAAAGUACAAAUUCCAAUGGUGACUAGCUUCCUGUCUAACUAGUUCAAGUCCUCGAUAGGUUGCCUUCAUAAGUAACAAACGCUACUGGGAAGUGGGCGUGGUACUCACCUGGUCGAGUAGCAUCUUAGUCGUACAAAUCCCAAUGGUGACUAGCUUCCUGUCUAACUAGUUCAAGUCCUUGAUAGGUUGCCUUCAUAAGCACCAAACGCUACUGCGAAGUUGGCAAAAGUCCAGGUGUUUGCAUUGUCAGUACACAGAACCAUGGGGAUACUGAUACUCGUACGAUGUCACCAACCAUGAAAUCAACACGGCCACCAAAGUGAUAUACCGACUCUAGAACGGGAGGAGAGAGAGUAUUUAGAGAGCUGAAAUCUCCUCCACGGACAAGACAUAUGCCUGUGUGCGAUAUGAUUGUCUGUCGGAUAAGAUUACCCUUUUUUGAAGAUAUGAAUAUAUAAUGAAUUAUGAUUUGGUUAGGUACAAUUAUAAAUGCCUAACAUAUUAGGUAUGACAUGUAGAUUUGAUUAAUAUGAUUGGUCUAGAUGCAAUAACUAUAUAGAUUUAACGAUUACAACCUACAGUAUUUAAUUAGGUGCAAUUAUAAUGACCUAAGGGCAUCUCAUGGGAGACCUUUAAAACACCGAUAUAUGUUCGGCCGGACACAUUUGUUCACUUUUGCAGUUCAAUGGGGACUUCUAUCAGUCCAGGAAGUUGUCCGGAUGUCAAAUUUUGGUAUUUUGGAGACAAAAACAGGGGAGCUUUGCCGGAGCCUGGACAUGCAAUUGAGCAAUCACAUGCAUGGUCCCCUCUCUUCUCUCUCCUUCCAACCCACAAAUAUUCCACGACAUGCAUGGUCCUCACCUACUUUUUCUCCUCUCAGCCAAAUACUUUGCAAUUUGCGUUGGAUUGCUCUCUCUCGUAUCAUGUCUGCGAACCACGUCCGAACAUAAAACCGGACAAACACCGGAGAAAUUUAUAGGUCAGUGUUGAAGAUGUCCUAACGGUGUGAUAUUGCAGCAUUAAUCUUAGUUGAUUGUGUGUUUCAGUGCCUUUAAGUUCUGCAAGUUAGGCCAGGAGAAGCUGCGAGGACCAGUUCGGCAAGGAGAAAAGUAGGCAGGAGGAAACCACUAUGCGGCAUGCCAAGUGGACCUGACAACUAGGACCCGCCGGUCAAAAUGCUCACAAAAUUUUAAACAGGGUAAACUGUGGCCAAACUUUUUCUAGAUGGGGUAAAACAGACGGAAUCUCGCUAAAUGGGAUAAUUAGUAUAAAAAAUGUCAAAACAGGGGGUAAAACCCGGAAUUCACUAUAUAUGAGCUUGGUAGGCAUGCAUGUAUAGAUCCCUCUCCUCUCCCCUGUCUGAGAUCCUCGUACUAUGUAGCAAGAGGAGUGGAGCCUCGUUUGUUUUGAUUUUCUUUUUCUUAGGUUUUAUUUUCCUGGUGGCAUCGAUGGUCGCGCCGAUGACAUAUUGGAAUAAGGUCACUCUGACCCCUCCCUACAUCAAUGAUGUCCAAUCCGGCGUCGACGAAGGGCCUGUGAGAACUUGUGUCGCCAAAUAUGUUGGCUCUCUUCGGAUCUUGGUAGUUGAUGUGUCUAUCAAGGAGAGCAUUUGGCUGGCUACUUGUGCGGCGUUUCGACAUCUUCUUUCAUGUUGUUAUGCUGCAUGGUUCGGUUUCUCCUACUCUCUAGACUGGUGGUGAUGAAUUGCAAGCCUGUUCUGCAUUAGGUGACGCUCCAACCAACGAUUCUUUCAGUGAUUUCUAAAUCUCAUAUCAAGCGGCGAGCGCCUAUUGUAGUCUUUAAACUCUAGUAGGGUGUUUGUAACCGUCUCUUUCCUUUACUGUUGGUUCAUUGCAAUUUUUAAUCUCCACGGGCAGCGCACAAUUGGAGGAAGAAUAAGGCUAGGCACUAUAGAGAGAAGAGGAGUGAGUGCUAGAUUUGAAUGAUAAUUGGGUUGGUAUAUUCAAACCACGGGGUGCAAAGCGACUACAUCGGGCAAGUUCACCAUAUGGUUCUUUUUGGACUUCAUGCAGGCAACGAACAUGCACCCGUUAUUUAUUUUAAAAGAAAAGAACCCAAGAAAACUUCAGCGGAAUAAUAAAGAAGUUUAAUCGGCGCAAAGGUUCAACGAGAUCGCUCCAUUAUUGUUCACACUGAGAAUUCAGUACCAUUAUUGUUCUCACUGAGAAUUCGGUAAAUUUUGUCACACCGGAUUGUGCCUUAGGAUAGCACCAUUAUUGUUGUCACCGAGAAUUCAGUAAAUUUUGUCAGCAGGCUGUGCCUUAGGAUAUAGUUCCAUUAUUGUUCUCACCGAGAAUUCAGUAAAUUUUGUUGCAACAGAUAAUGCCUUCAGAUUUCGCAGAACCAGCACACGUACAUUCUCAC